rnacentral:lncRNA from 1 species
AUUGUUGAGGGACAGAGAUAUACUAAAAGAUUAAAUGAAAGACAAGUAACUGCUCUUUUAAGAGCAACCUGUCAGCGUCCUCAGGAUCGUGAAGCAAAUAUACAGAUGGUAGAGCAUUGUUGUAAUUUCUUACAUCUGUGGUGGAUCUUUUUUGGAUGAUUAAUCUGGGAGCUAUCUUCUUGUGAACAAAGAGAGUUUCUGAUUCUUGCUUCUGGGUUUGACAUUCUUCUGCAGAUGGCUAGGGAAAAUGCUUACAAUGAAGAUACUCUUGUGAACAACAAGUUUGGAAUUCAAGUGGCUGAUGGUCUUACAUCGGUUGAUGCUCGAAUCCUACCUGCUCCAAUGGUAAUUAUGUGUCGUUUUGUUUUAUUUGUAACAGAUAAUGGUACUUCCAAUCUCCUUAUGCUUAACUUUACCUCCUGUAAUGCUGCAGCUUAAAUAUCAUAAAAGUGGCAGAGAAGCAAGCGUGAAUCCUGAUUUUGGGCAAUGGAACAUGAUUAACAAGGUGAAUUACUAAUUAUUAUUUUAUUCCGUAGUUGUUGAUUUGUGCUUAGGAAGAGCAUAGGGAAGCAGUUACCACUUGUUUAAAUUGGUUGAGGGAUGUUUAUUGACUGAUGGGUAGGAUGGGUUGGAAGUUGAUUUGCUACAUUUGAUGCAAUGUGGAUGUGCUGCAGUUCUUUUCCAACCAUAAUUUUUGAUUUUUUUUUUCCAUUUUAGCAUGCUGUAAUUUCUAUUUAGUUAUAUACUUUUUCAUCUUUGACAAGCAUUGUAUCUGAUAUUCACUUAGGUAUUUGGAUUGUAUGUGCUUGGUGUUCAGUUCAGUCCACUUUGCCUUCUGAACGAGAAGCUUUUAUUUUUUCACAAUGAAUUAUUUUGUGUAAUUUUGGUUUUACAGAAAAUGUUCAAUGGUGGGACAGUGCAAGUUUGGACUUGUAUGAACUUCUCCACACGUUUGAACCACGAUGUGAGCGGGUUCUGUCAACGGUUGGUAGACAUGUGCAAUAAAAAGGGAAUGGUAUGGUAAUGUUAUUUGUUUUGCAAUUCAUGUUAGCAAAUCAGGUUAAUGAUCUCUCUGAACCGACUUUUUUCUUUUGGGGGGGUCUGUGUUUGUCAUGCCAGGUAUUUAACCCGCGGCCUGUCAUUCCCAUAAGUUCAUCCAACCCAAAUCAAAUUGAGAAGGCACUUGUAGACGUUCGCAAUAAGACUACUCAGCCAGGGAAACAGCUUCAGCUGUUGAUAAUUAUUUUACCUGAUGUUAGCAGAUCAUAUGGUGAGUGAUAAAUUUAAUCCAUGAUUAAACUUUUAUGUCAGCUUUGGUUUUGUUCAACAUUAUCGGCUUUCUGCUCGCAGGAAGAAUUAAGCGAGUUUGUGAAACAGAACUUGGGAUUGUUUCACAAUGCUGUCAGCCUAAGCACGUAUCCAGUGGCAAUAUGCAGUAUUUUGAAAAUGUGGCUCUUAAAAUCAAUGUGAAGGUUUGGUUUGCCCCCAUUUUUUUGUGUGUUCAUUAUCAUGGUUAAUAUUUGAGAACAAAUACAAGGGUUAGCAGGAAAACAUGUAGGAGAUGAAUAUAUAUAUAUUUUUUGGCAAUUUAAUUUCAGUCUUGCUUUGCUGGAAUUAUUGUAAUUUUUUUUCUUCAAAUAAUCAAAUUCUGAUGUUCAAGAUAUUUUUAUAAGUGUUUGGGAGUGCCAAAAUUUCUUGUUAAAAUUGAUAGGUUUGCUUAUUGGUCCUGGAGAUUCAGUUUACUAUUUGUAAUUUUAUCAGGUUGGAGGACGAAACACUGUGCUCGAUGAUGCUGUUCAGAAAAGAAUUCCUCUUGUGACUGAUAGACCUACAAUUAUAUUUGGUGCAGAUGUCACCCAUCCACAACCAGGAGAAGACUCUAGCCCUUCAAUAGCGGCCGUAUGUGCACUCAUUUUCUGUUUCUGCUUUCUAGUAAUUCACUCUGUUAAAAGAUUGAAUUGACUGAGACAGGUGGUGGCCUCAAUGGAUUGGCCAGAAGUAACCAAGUACAGAGGACUUGUCUCUGCUCAGGCACAUAAUGAGGAAAUUAUCCAAGAUCUCUAUAAAUCUAUUAAAGAUCCUCAGAGGGGUUUAGUUCAUGGAGGGAUGAUCCGGUUAGUAGACAUGGAAGUACAUAUCAGGUGCCUUAUUAUUAAGAGAACCUUAUGCUUCUGUUUGUCUUUUACAGGGAACUGUUAAUUGACUUCAGAAGAUCAACCAACUUCAAACCUCACAGGAUUAUUUUCUAUCGGUAAUGGCUGUUUUCAACGUUAAACUGCAUGUUUUGUAUAAUGUUACUGAUGUUGUUUAAUUUAUGUGCCAGAGAUGGUGUUAGUGAAGGGCAGUUCAGUCAGGUUUUGCUCCAUGAAAUGAAUGCUAUCCGGCAGGUAAUACUGAUGAGUUCUGAAGUUAAUACAAUUUUCUUGUGUUCUGGAGAUUUUCAAUGUCUAGUUUCAGUUGAUUUCUUGUUGAUGACUUUUGUUGCAACAUGCUAAAUUGACUUAUUUCCAGGCCUGUGCCUCAAUUGAGGAGGGAUAUGCGCCACCAGUUACGUUUGUUGUGGUACAGAAAAGGCAUCAUACUCGCCUUUUUCCUGCUGAUCACAACAGACAUGGUCUGACAGAUAAGAGAGGAAAUAUUUUACCAGGUUCCAAGUUUGCUUUGUAUCAUUAAUCUUUAUUUUCUGUUUGCUUCUUUUGAGUAUUCACAAAGGUUGGGAACCAUGUUGUUGCUUAACCUUGUCUUUGAUGAAUACUUUUCGGAUGUUCUUGUGUUAGGAACUGUUGUUGAUACUCAAAUUUGUCACCCUACAGAAUUCGAUUUUUACCUCAACAGCCAUGCAGGAAUUCAGGUUAAAAAAAAAAAUUAAGUUUGCUCUUUCAAUCCAGGUUAAAAAAAAAAAAAAUUAAACAAUGUUCCCCCUUCCCCCCCCCCUUUAAUUUUUAAAUUUGUUGGACUGAUUAAGGUGUUUAUUCCAGGGAACCAGUCGCCCAACUCACUACCAUGUAUUGUAUGAUGAGAACCGUUUUACUGCAGAUGACUUGCAAAUGUUAACAAAUAACUUGUGUUACACGUAAUAUGUUUACCUUCUCUAUAAUCGGAUUUAAUAUUGCAUUGUUGAAGAAUUUAUCUUUCGAGUGGUUAUUUUGUAAGUUUUUGACUCGUGGCCCAUUUUCAGGUAUGCAAGGUGUACUCGAUCAGUUUCAAUAGGUCUGAUCCUUUGUACUUCUAUUGUUUUACUAAAAACAUUUUGAGUCAAUGAAUUAUUAUUAUUCUGGCUAGCAUUGAUUGAUUUUUUUUUUCUUUUUAUUUUUUGUAUUGGCUGUUUUCAUAUGGCAGUGCCUCCUGCAUACUAUGCACGUUUAGCAGCUUUUCGGGCUCGUUUUUAUAUCGAGGAUGAAACAUCUGCGGGUGGAUCCACAGGAGGGACUAGGAGCACGGCGGAGGGGAGUUUGGCUAUCCGGCCUCUUCCCGUCAUCAAGGAUAAUGUGAAAGAUGUAAUGUUUUACUGCUGAAAGUAGUCUCCAGCAUCAAUCCUCUUUGUCAUGGUUUUCAUCAAGGCUUGACGUGUUUUGGUAUAUGGAGUACCAGCGUGGUGCCCUUUUUGGACAGUACUGUUAUUUUGGGAGUAGUUUCAAAUUGGACAUCAAGGGUAGAAACUGAUUCUCCUUAUGUUAAAAAUGCUAGCUGCAUAUUGUCCUGGUUAAUGCUGGUUAAUGCCUUGUAAAUUUAAAUGCCAAAAAACUUCAUUUCUUGGUGGGGUUAUUUGAUCUCACUGCACGCUUUUUUAAAUUAACAUUUUUGGACAGUGCUGAUUAUCUCACUGCACUCUUUUUUCAAUUAACAUUUUUAUUCUGAAAACAUAAUUGGAUCAAUUAUAUAUUUGAUCUUAUUUUCUCUCUCGAUCUCUUUCCCUUAACCAAAAUUUAUUGUAAUAUGUGAAGUACGUAUUGAAUUUUCUAAUUAUUCGAAAAGUAAUAAAUUCAGCUCAAUGGUAAUUAGAAACAAGAUGAAAGAGACAAUGUUAAUCAUUUAGAAAUAAAAAUAAGAGUUUUUAGACUGUUCUAAAUUUGUUAGAAUUUUGAGGAAGAUGAAGUUGAUUUUGGAGAGAGAAUAAAAUUGAAAAGUAGUUUAAGCUUUGAUCAUUACUACAGUAGACAGAGAAAAAUUAGAGCCAAUUUGGGAUUGCGAAGGCAUAUAAAAUAAGCAGCUUGUAGUGUACAGGUGAAAUAAGUUGUUAAUAAAAAAAAGUAGUUUAAUGUUUGGCAAAUUGUACUGUUGUGGUUGCUGAGAAUUUGAAUAGUACAAUACAUGCGUUUGGUAAAUUAUAUUACGAAAGUAUUGUUUUAUUAUAUAAUGAGCAAAAUAAAUACAAGUUUUAAUUACUUUUUAUUUUUAAAGUAUGUUUAAUAAAUUAUUUACUUUUUGAGAGCUCAAGCAACUCCGUUGCUUCUUCCACUUUUGCAGCCAAUGACUCAAAGUGAAUCCAACAGCACGAGCAGCUCGGAGUGAUCCAUUUCCAAAAGCAUCUCAGUAAUCUUUGGUGAAAGAUCACACUGUCCAAAAGUUAAAAAUGUACAUCAAUGGUAGAAACUGAUUCUCCUUAUUUAAAAAAUGUUAGCUGCAUAUUGUCCUGGUUAAUGCCUUGUAAAUUUAAAUGCCAAAAAACUUCAUUUCUUGGUGGGGUUAUUUGAUCUCACUGCACUCUUUUUCAAAUUAACAUUUUUAUUCUGAAAACAUAAUUGGAUCAAUUAUAUAUUUGAACUUAUUUUCUCUCUCAAUCUCUUUCCCUUAACCAAAAUUUAUUGUAAUGUGUGAAGUAAAUAUUGCAUUUUAUAAUUAUUCAAAAAGUAAUAAAUUCAGCGCUAUGGUAAUUAGAAACAAGAUGAAAGAGACAAUGGUUAUCAUUUAGAAAUAAAAAAUAAGAGGCUUUCGACUGUUUUAAAUUUGUUAGAAUUUUGAGAAUUUAAAGUUGAUUUGGAGAGAGAGAACAAAAUAAAAAGUAGUUUAAGAUUUGAUCAUUGUUACGGUAGACAAAGAAGAAUUAAGGUCAAUUUAGGAUUGCGGAGGCAGAUGAAAUAAACUGUUUGUGUUGUGCAGAUGAAAUAAGUUGUUGAUAAAAAAAAUAGUUUGGUGUUUAGUAAACUGUGCUGUUGUGGUUGCUGUGAGUUUAAAAAGUGGAGUACAUGCAUUUGAUAAAUUUUAUUACGAAAGUAUUGUUUUAUUAUAUAAUGACCAAAAUACAUAUAAGUUUUAAUUGCUUUUUAUUUUUAAAGUAUGUUUAAUAAAUUAUUUAUACAUUUCUUUUUUUCUUAUUGUUGUUUUAUAUAAUGACCAAAAUAGACAUAAGUUUUAGUUACUUUUUAUUUUUAAAGUAUAUUUAAUAAAUUAUUGAGACUUUUUUUUUCUCAAAUGCGUAAAAUUAUAUUAAAAACUUAAUUAAAAAAAUCUAGAGAACUUCAUAAUUUGUUACAUAAAAUAUGAUAAAAAUAAAGUUAUGAUUCAUAUAUUAGGGUUUAUAAAAUCUAGGGUUAUAAUAGGAAAUUUAAAAAUGUAUGGUAUCUUAUUAAAUAAGUUGCUUAUGAAAAGCAACUCCUUACCAGCUUUUAAAAAGCUACUGACAAAAUGCAGAAAAUUAUAAAAUAAGUUGUUUUUACAAAAUUUAACAAAUACUAUUUUUAUUAAAAAUUAUGAAAUAAGCAAGUUAUUGAAUUUCAACUGCAAUCCUAAACUGACUCUUAGUUAAUCAAAUAUUUUUUGUGACUUUUGAGAAUUAGUGAAUUAAAAUAAUAAAUUAUAAUUAAAAAAUGGUUGUAAGAAGGAAAAUUAAAGUUUGCCUCAAUUGUUUGAUUAGGCGAAUGAUGCAUGUGUACAUGUAGUUGUUUUUAACUAAGAUGUAUAAAUAGAUGAACAAAUACUGCAAAAGCGAAAGUAUUGAAUUAAAAAAUGUCAUAAAAAUGUGGGAUAUUAUCAUUUUCCCACUAAAUGUAUUCUGACAUAUCAUGUCAGUACCAUGGUUUGGUAAAACUAUUAUUUUACCACCAAACGUUUAAACUGUUAGCAUUUUUCCACAAUUCCAUUAAAACUUAGUUAAUAUGUAACGGAAAAUUCAUAAAAGGUCAAUUUUACCCCUGGAGCGUAAAAGAUGAUUUUGCCCUUUAAGAAUAAACAACAACAAAUGAUGAUUUAAUUACAAAAAUAACCCCAAAAGUAGCCGAUACAUUCAAAUAACGGCUACUUUUAUGCUUAUAAGAGCUGUUGCUGGUUUGGAUCACGAAUGCAUGACAGAAAUAAUCCUUUUGCUUGUCGUGGGCUUCGAGGGAUGACCAACUAGAAAAUUCACUGAUUAAGUAUUGGAAGCAAUGCAAAACAUCAAACAAUUUUAGAAGGGAAGUGCUAAACUUCAGCUCCCUUGCAAAAGGAUUAGGACCAAUUGAAAGAUUUUCUAUAAUCUCAAAGGUACAACAAAAUAGUUUCUUUGGACUCCUCAUGAACUGCAGUUAGCAUGCGGAGCAUUGCCUGUUAGAGUUGACUGUUAGCAGUAGCAAGUUUCUGGGAAUUAAGUUUCCACUUUAGAGGGUGGAGUCCUCCAGAAAUAGACGGGUAAAGAGUAAAGACUAGAGAAAUUAGAGAAAUAGAAGAUUUGUAUUUUGGAUUCAGGGAACUCCCCUUUUUCUUGUUCAUUCAUUUCCUUAAAUACUCCUCCAAGAGAGCUAUAGACAAAACAUAUUCACAGCACAAACUUUACAGCACAAUAUUCUCUCUAACAAACUUGACAGCACAGCAAAACAUAAUUGCAAUAAUAGUAAAUAACAAAUUCAGCAUAAUAUCUUGAAGAGUAUCUAAGUGCUGUAAUCGGUUGCACCAUCAUUCCCGCACAAAAUCUUGAAGCUUGAAGGGAACUUUGGGCUGUCUCUUAGGCCUAGCUUGAGCAAUCGGCUGUGCAGUGGUUGUAUCAUUACCACCCUCAUGGAAAUGAGCCUUGUCCUCAAGGCUAAUAUAAGGAAAAGUGGCGUGGAAAGGUUCCCAAUUCUCCCAUGUAGCUUCAUCAGGUGUCGUGUUAGACCACUGCAUUAAGACUUGCUUGACCUUUUGCUUAUUUGUCUUGAUAGUUUGCUGGUCCAAAAUGCAUAAAGGUAUGGAAUAAGGGUCUGCAGUUGGGGGUGGGUGGGCGGGAAUAACUUCAGUAGGGUUUGGACAUAACUUGAGGAUUGAAAUGUGGAACACGGGAUGGAUACAAGAUUCAGGUGGUAACAAUAAGCAAUAUGCAACCUUUCCAACUCUUGCCGUUAUUUGGUAAGGACCAUAAUACUUCUUGGCAAGCUUGUUACUUAGACGGUGAGCAAGAGAAGACUGUCGAUAACGUUGAAGCUUAACAUAAACCCAGUUACCAACCUCAAACUCCUUAUCGCGACGAUGACGAUUUGCUUGGGUGCGCAUUCUUUCAUGUGCUCUUUGAAGGUUCAGCUUGACAGUAGCCAAUAGAGCUUCUCUAUCCAAUAAUGCAGAGUUUAAAGAAUCAAUAGGGGUGUCUUCGCUGGAGUAUCCUACAAGAGGUGGUGGGGGCCUGCCAUAGACAACUUGGAAUGGUGAAAAUCCUGUAGAGCUGUGUGUACUGGUAUUGUACCAAUAUUCGGCCCAUGGUAAAGUUGCAGACCAUCUAUUUGGAUAGUCUCCAGUAAAUGCUCGCAAGUAUGUCUCGAGACAACGGUUGACCACUUCUGUUUGCCCGUCAGUUUGCGGGUGAUAAGCAGUGCUAGGCCGUAACUCCGUUCCCUGCAAUUUAAAUAGUUCUCGCCAAAAUUCACUAAUGAACAGAGGAUCACGAUCAGUAACAAUGGAUCUAGGGAAUCCAUGAAGUCGAACGUACUCGCGAACAAAAUAUUCAGCCAAUUUCGGUGCAGUAACUCCCUCCGGCAAGGCACAAAAAUGACCAUACUUGGACAGUCUAUCAACAAUGACCCAAAUAAUUGUCUUAUCGUUUGAUUGUGGUAAAGAAGUAAUGAAAUCCAUUGAAAUGUCUUCCCAGACUCUGGAUGGUAUGGGCAGCGGUUGUAAAAGCCCCUUGGAAUAGAAGUUUUCUGGUUUGGUUGCUGACAAAUUGAACAUUCUCGAAUAUGUUGCUGUACCUCUCGGCGCAUUUGCAGCCAAUAAAAAUUAGCUGAUAAUCGAGCAUAAGUCUUUUGUUCCCCAGAAUGCCCGCCAAUCACCGAGCCAUGGAAUAGGUUUAGAAGGCAUUUUCUGAGCUUCAUACUGUUAGGAACAAAAAUUCUACCCUGAUGGUAAAGUAAGUCUUGUUGAAUAGAAAAAUUAUUAUCUGUGCAAACCCCUUUCUCAAUUGACUACAGAAUUUGUUGGGCCGUGUCAUCCAAAGCAAGGGCAUCUCGAAUUUCAGUUAGGAAAGUGCUAGUAGUGACUGAAAUUGACAUCAGAUUACCUUGUGCUUCGCUUGUCCAUCGUGAAAGAGAAUCGAGUCCACUAUUUUCCACCCCAGCCUUAUGCUCAAUUGUAAAUUCAAACCCUAACAGCUUUGUCAACCAAGUUUGUUGCUUUGGUGUCUGUAUCGUUUGUGUAAGGAGUUGCUUAAGGCUUUUAUGAUCAGUGAAUAUCGUGAAAGGUCGGCCCAAGAGAUAUGGUCGCUAUCGUCGAACUGCUGCUGUGAUUGCAUACAUCUCACGACUAUACGCAGAUGUAGAUUGAAGUCUUGGUGGCAACUUCUUACUGAAAUAAGCUAUUGGAUGUCGAUUUUGGGAGAGAAUCGCACCCACAGCGAGACCAGAGGCAUCCGUUUCCACUGCAAAGACUUUGGAAAAAUCUGGUAAGGCUAAGAUAAGAACUUCAAUCAGAGCACGUUUGAGACGCUCAAAAGCUAAGUCAGCUGCUUCACCCCAGUCAAAUCCAUCCUCUUAAGCAAAUCAGUUAAUGGGCUUGUAAUUUGGGCAUACCCCUUUACAAAACGUCGGUAAUAUCCUGUGAGUCCCAGGAAACCCCUCACAGCAGCAAUUAUUUUUUGUUUAGGCCAAUUUAAGACAGCUUGAAUUUUGGUGGGAUCAACACUCACUCUUUGGGCUGAAACAAAAUGGCCGAGAUACUCUAAUUUAGCUUGGCCAAAACUGCACUUGGAUAACUUAGCGUACAAUUGGUUUUGAUGGAGCAGCUGGAGAACAAUUUUGAGAUGGUAAAUGUGUUCCUCAUGGGAUCGGCUGUAAACAAGAAUGUCGUAAAAAAAAACUAGAAUAAACUUACGAAGAUAAGGUUUGAAAAUAGAGUUCAUUGUGGCUUGAAAUGUGGAGGGGGCAUUGGACAGCCCAAAGGGCAUUACAAGAAACUCGUAAUGACCUUCGUGUGUUCGAAAUGCAGUUUUUGGAAUGUCGGGUGGGUGGAUCCGAAUUUGGAAAUACCCACUCCGUAAAUCAAUCUUUGAAAAGAUGAUGGCCCCAUGUAAUUCAUAUAGUAAUUCAUCCACUGUAGGUAUUGGAAAUCGAUCCUUGAUAGUGAUGGCAUUUAGAGCUCUAUAAUCGACACAAAAUCGCCAUGUCCCAUCUUUUUUGCGAACCAAGAGGACGGGUGAGGAGAAUGGGCUGGUGGAAGGUUGUAUAAUUUGAUCUUGAAGCAUUUCUUGAACUUGCCUUUCGAUUUCAUUUUUUUGGUAAUGGGGGUAGCGGUAUGGUUUAAUAUUCACAGGAGUAGAUUAUGGGAGAAGAGUGAUUUUGUGGUUGAGGGGUCUAUUAGGUGGAAGGCCUUUUGGGAUGCUAAAAAAAACUGGAUACUGGUUUAGUAGUGUUAGGAAAUCUUGGUGAAGAGUGGAAUCCAUGGAUUGGUGAAUAUUUUGGGUUGAAGGUGGACUGUCUGGUUCGAGUUCUAAACGGAAGUACUGAGCUAUUGAGGUAGUCUGUUGUAGUCUUUUUAGUUGGUGGAAGGAUAUAGGAAUGGGGUGGGGCCGAAUGUUUUGAGCUCCUUCAAGUUUAAUAGGCUGCCCUUUUAUAUGUAAAUUCCAUAGUUAGGGCUUUGUGAUCAGUGAUAAUUUUCCCCAACUUCUCCAGCCACUGUACCCCUAAAACAGCAUCAGCUCCACAAAAAUCUAGUAUAUGAAAGUCAGCUUCAAAUUCAACACCCUGCAUCUCGAGUUUAACUUUCGAACAAUGACCUUCGCUACGAAUCCGUUCCCCAUUGCCGACAGCUACCAAAAACGUCAUUGUCUUAUCAAUAGCCAAAUGAAGAAAGUGAGCCAACCGCGGGUGGAGGUAAUUAUGUGUACUCCCAGUGUCAAUUAAUACUGAUAAAGGUUGAUUGUUAAUUUUAGCACUGAGUCUGAAGGUUUGGGGACCAGUUGUUCCAAUCAAAAUAUGAAAAGAAAUUUCGGGGCUUGGAUUUGCUGUUUCUUCGGUAGGCACCGUAUCCUCCACCAAUAUUUCUUCUUCUUGAAAAUUUUCUGAUGGUUCCUCUGUCAACAAUAACAGAAAAGGGCGAGUGCGACAACGAUGACCGGGCUUGAAUCGUUCAUCGCAAUUGAAGCACAAGCCUUGGGCACGACGGGUUUGCAUUUCGGCGGUCGUGACACGACAAAUAGGAAGGGUUGUCUUUGGUGGGUUUGAUGGAUUUGGUGGUGGGAGGGGUAAAAGUGAGGGCCGUGGGUCUGGCCGUAUAUUUGUUUCGUUGCGUGUAAGUAUGGGUAUUGGUGUAUUGGUUGAUUUCCAUGAAAUGGAUUUUUGGUUAUAGGACAGCAAUUUAUCUUCAAUCAAUUUGGCUAAAGCAAUUGCAUCAGGAAGGUUAGAAGGUUUGUGAAUGGCUAACUCAUUUUGAAUGGUUGGUUUUAAACCUGAGAUGAAGCAAUCUAAAAUGGCAUCUGGGUGAAGGUUGGUGACUAUGUUGCAGAUGUUUUCAAAGGCUGAUUGGUAAGCCUCUACAGAGCUUGUUUGGGUAAGUUUGAAUAGAGUGGCUCUAUGAUUAAUAUAGGAGGAAGGGCCAAACCUGCUUUCAAUAGCUCGGGUGAGAGCUGCCCAAGAAGAUAAUUGUUGAUUCUUGUGCAUCCAUUGGAACCAAGAGAGUGCUUGGCCAGUCAUAUAGAAACUGGCGAUGUCAAUCCGCUGCUCCUCUGGGGUUUCAUAGAAAGAAAAGUAUUUUUCAGCUUGAAAUAUCCAAUCUAAGGGAUUAGAUCCAUCAAAUGUUGAUAGAUCACAUCGUAUAGAUCUUGUGCUUUGUGUGGGUUGUAGUUGAGCUUGUAUAGGUGGUGUGUUUUGUGGCGUAGGUGGUGCAGAGGCUGGUGGGUUUGUGGAGGACCCAAUCUGAGAGGGUGCCAUCACGGUAACGCUGGCAGCAAGCUCUGCUAUAGAGUUUUGUAGUGCUUGUUGUGCACCUUGUAGGUUUUGUUGUGAACUUUGGUUAAUUUGCUGCUGUUGUAUUAUGAUUUGGCGUAGGUCUUCAAGGGAUUUUGGGUCGAUUCUUUGAAUUGUGUGACCUGUUCUUCAAGGGCUCGAUAUCGUGUUUGCAUACCCUCGUUUGCCAUCUCUCAAUGAAAGCACCAAAUGUUAGAGUUGACUAUUAGCAGCAGCAAGUUUCUGGGAAUUAAGUUUCCACUUUAGAGGGUGGAGUCCUCCAGAAAUAGAAGGGUAAAGAGUAGAGACUAGAGAAAUUAGAGAAAUAGAAGAUUUGUAUUUUGGAUUCAGGGAACUCCCCUUUUUCUUGUUCAUUCAUUUCCUUAAAUACUCCUCCAAGAGAGCUAUAGACAAAACAUACUCACAGCACAAACUUUACAGCACAAUAUUCUCUCUAACAAACUUGACAGCACAGCAAAACAUAAUUGCAAUAAUAGUAAAUAACAAAUUCAGCAUAAUAUACUUUGAGACCAGGAACGUGACAAAAGAAAGCUUCAGGAGAUUGCGAGUGAUAAUGUCCAUCAUGGCCCACAGCUCCGUAAAGGGCUCUUACUGUUAAUCCUGGGGAAUCACAUGAAGGCCCUUCAAGGACAAAACAAGAGCAGAGAGACGGGGAGGAAGAAAAACUAAAAAAGAAAUAACCAGAGGGGAGCAUUGGACAAUAAACGGAGCAACAUAUUACCUCCACAAUUAAAUUGAUUUCCACUCCUGUAUCUGAACUUAGCAGCUUCAUUGACAAUCUACCAAGAAGAUUAUGUCAACUAAAGGUGAAUUAUAAAACCACAAGAGAUGCUAGUUUCUGGAAGAGAGCUAUACCUUAUCAAAAGCUGGAAAAAUAUAAUCUGCAAAUUGAAUUUCAGCUAUAGCUCGAUUUCCCUAUCACACAUGAAAUGAAAGCAAGGGAUAUGUACAUCAUAUUAGAGGUUCCUGAGGAACUAUGCUGAGAAUGACUUCCCAGCUUGUGCAUUUUAAACAUAAGUUUCUGAAACAAACCAUAGCUGCCAGACCAAUGGCAAACCCAACGAUGCCCUACAUACAAAAAAGAUAAUACGAACCUAUCAAAUAUGCAUAGCACAGAAGAGUCCAAUAUUAGUGCGUGGAAAGAGAGUGAGACUCUCUAUUUGACAGUAAACAUUUCACGUGAUAUGUCCAAAAUACCCUUAUAAUGUCAGCAUAAUUUUUAUUCAGUUAACGGAAUGGUGGGAAAAUGCUAACAGUUUAUACGUUUUGUGGUAAAGUGAUGGUUUUACCAAACCGUGGUACUGACAUGAUGUGUCAGAAUAUCUUUAGUGGGAAAAUGAUAAUAUCCCUAAAAAUUUCUUCAAAGCCGAUGAUCGUACUAUAAGUACAUUUAAGCAAUCCACAAGACUAUUAAACUGUGUAUGCUUCCUUUUUUUUCUUUUUACUUUCAAUUACUCGUUAUUCUUCUUGUACAGUGGCUUCUGAAUUACUUUCUUUACUUUUUGAGAGCUCAAGCAAUUCUGUUGCUUCUUUCACUUUUGCAGCCAAUGACUCAAAGUGAAUCCAACAGCACGAGCAGCUCCGAGUGAUCCAUUUCCAAAAGCAUCUCAGUAAUCUUUGGUGAAAGACCACAUUGUCCAAAAGUUACUUACAUGUAAAUAUCAUUAAACCGAAGCUUAAAGCAGGUGAAAAUUGUGAGUACAUUCGCAGAAGGUUAAAACUUCAAUUUACUCCCUUAUUCUGAAUAACAAUCUACUAUUUACCUCAAAAAUAUAAAAACACUAAUUUAUCUCUUUUAUCAUUAAAAAGAUAAAAAAAAAUUAUUAUCAACACACUUUUCGUUUGCAGUGGUGGACCUACAGCAAGGCUAGACCGGGCGGUAGCCCGGUCAAACUUAGGAAAAAAUCAUUCAUACCCCUUAUUUUACUAUCAAUUAUAGACAAUAAUAGAGAUUUUAUUUUGUUUUCAUACAUGUCCCUAAUAUAAUUAUCCUUAUAUUUUCAUUAAUUUUAUACUAUAAUAGAGUUUUUAUUUUAUUUUUAAAUAUGUCCUCAAUUCAAUUAUAUUUUUUUCCAAUUGAAAUUAGUGACUUAUUUUAUAAAAUGAGUAAAUUAUAUAUUUACUAUAUAGAUAAAAAAACAUUAGGGGGUAAAAUGUUAUUACUUUAAUUUAUUUUAAAAAAUUCUAAUUGAAAAAACAGUAUGUCAAUCUAAUAUAAAAUUGUCACUAGUAUUAAACUACUUAAAAAAAAACAUGUAGUAACAAUUAUCAACAUUUUCAUAAACUUUUUAUGUAAAUUUUGAGAUUUUAUUUAUUAGUUAUAUUAACUAAGAUAAAAUUUGAAUAUUUUGAGGAGCUUUAAUUUGAUAGAAAAAUCAUCAACAACUAGUUCUUUAAAGAGAGUCAGAGCGUUUGGCAAAGAAACAACAAUACCUAAAUACGUUUUUGUUAGGUUGAAUUUAGUUUAUAAUUGAAACUUUUGACUAAUAAUAUUUUUAUAAUUUAAAAAGAGGAAUAAAUUUGAAUUGUUUAAUUUAUUGAAACCUGGUAAUUAAGUACUUGACUUCAAACAUUAAAAUUUUACUUCAAUUUUUAAUUGAUUGUAAUUACAUGUAUUCAUUUAUUUCAGCUUAAAAUCCUUAAUUAAUAUAUUAAUCCUUAUAUAAUCCUUGUAUGAUUACAUUUUAUUAGAGUGAGAUUUCAUAAUUGUAAAAUAGUGUUUUAUUUUUUUUAUUGCUUUUGUUUUCUACUCUUUUUAUAUAACUAUUUUUGUUUAUAACUUAUAGCGAUAAGACUUUUCGUGCCCCCCCUAUUUGGUGCAGUUUUUUCUACUUAUAAAUUUUUAUGCUCACUUUAAAAUAUAAUUUUUUUAAUUUAGCCCGGGUUAAUACAAAUUCCUGGGUCCGCCCCUGUUCAUUUGUCCUUAUCUUUUGAACGAAAAUGAAACUAAACUGAAGAUUAUCAUUCUACCCGAAGAAGAAUCGAAGUUGACCCUUCACAAAAAUAUGAGUAAUCACCUUGAGUUUCUUCACCAGCGGGUAGAGUCUUUGGCCAAGAAUAUCUUGUUGGGGAAAAAAUUAGGUUUUUAAAUUUUUUAUAAAACCUUUUGAAGAUCGCUCUCAUAUAAUAUAUAAGAAUUUGUAUUCUAGAAAUCGUACCUUGAAAAACCGAGUUGGCUUUUUCCGCUGAAGUGAUUUAGGCUCCUAGAUCACGAUCCGCCACCACCACUCCUAUUAGAUCACGAUCCUGCACCACCACGCUUGUUAGAUCACGAACUGUCACCAAUGAUCUUCCAGGUUAUGACUCAGGUUCGAUCUGCACUUGACGUGUGGACGCCUUUAUCACUACCAAAGCAACUAGCACGAGAAAAUUUUUCUCUCAACAAUUAGAGAGAAAAAUCUUUUUCUCAGAUCUGUAUAAAGUGGCUUCUCUUUUUUCCUUUUGAGAAAAUAAGCUUUAUAUAUCUCCCUUUAGUGAAAACCCUAAGCUCCAAGAAUGCCCAAAAUAAAACUCACGUUACUUUUCAUUUAAUAGGGGACCCACCAUGUAAAAUAACAUAAGGCCCCUUACACAUAAGCUUAUUAAAUGGAGCCUCCCACUAAAUGAUAUAUUUAGGCUUUUGACCCAAAUAGCUAGUUAUCUUGCUUAUUAGUCCAGUAGUGGUGCAGUCAAUUAAAUGAGCUAACCCGGGGAUCAUUUGGGAACAUACAAUAGUAGCUAUAAUAAUUAGGCCUGUAAUUAAACUAGCCUAAUUAUUUAAUUCCAAAUCUACUCCACUAAAAGAUUGGAACUGACUUCCAUAAUUGUAUGCUCGAAUAAUAAUUCGUCCCAAGCCACAUUGAUUUCUUUACUGCACAAUCCUUUGUACCACAUCGUUAAUUAAAUUGAUAUCUCAACUGUCCAAUCAAUUUAAUAACAUCUUAUUCCUUUAUCCUUACUGGUUUUCUAUAAUGAUCAUUUUCAACAUACUAAAUAUGUUGACACACUCUGGCCAGAGAAUUCUAUGAUCAAGUGCCGAAAACCCAUCAAGACAUGUGUUGUACAAAUUCUAUAUUGUUAAUCCAUAACUCCAAUACUCAUAAUUGCUCCCACUAAGAUACCGAGUAAUCCUGACCACAAGGAUGUGUCGUGCCCAUUGGUAACUCAAAUGGAAUAACAAUUACAAUCAUGAAAUCAUAAUUAACUCAAGAUUAAGAUUACAGUAAAAUCAAUGCCUAUGUGAUUUAAUAAGUCUGACAGUUAUUACAAAGUUAAUUAAAUCUCAUAUGUGAUCCUGUUCAAUGUAGUCGUACUACAUCAACAAAUUCAUACAUGAUUAAGACAAAUCAUUCAAUGAAUUUAUUACAGUCUAUACCUAAAUAAAGUGCCCAACUUUAUUUAUCAACUGCGAACUAAAUUUAUUUAAUCAUAAGAUAACUUGUAUUUAUGUCUUCUGUGAAUCCACAUGGUAAUCACAUAAAUACAUAUAAUAUGAUUAAAUGGACUUUAAUACAAAUAUUAAUGCAAUUAAGAUAUUUGAAUAAAAUACCUCAUCUAUUUUAUUAAUCAGAAAAAUUAUUUAUUACAAUUAAAUAAACACAUAUGCUUUUAAAGAGCAUAUUUUCCCAACAAUCUCCCACUAGCUCUCAAAGCAUAUUUGGCAUCUCACGCAUGCCCAUGGAUUCUAAGUGCAAGUUAAAAGGUUUCCCAGGUAUGGCCUUAGUAAAAGGAUCUGCCAAGUUUUGCUGUGACGCAAUCUGAGUAACCUCCACAUCACCUCUCUGCACUAUAUCCCUUAUAAGAUGAUACUUCCUCUCAAUAUGUUUUUGUUUCUUGUGGUUCCUUGGUUCCUUAGAUUGAGCUACCGCACCACUAUUAUCGCAAAAUAGUUUCAGGGGUGCAGUUACAGCAGGUACCACCUCAAGAUCUUGUAGGAACUUGCGGAGCCAUACAGCUUUUUUUGCAGCUUCGGAUGCAGCCACAUAUUCAGCUUCAGUUGUGGAGUCUGCGAUACAAGAUUGUUUCACACUCCUCCAACUAAUAGCUCCACUUCCCAAUGUAAACCAUAACCGGAAGUUGAUUUUCUGGAAUCCUUAUCUGACAUAAAGUCAGAAUCAGUAUAACCCACUAGAAUGAGUUCAUCACCAGAAUACACAAGCAUAUAAUUUUUAGUUCUUUUAUAUACUUCAUUAUAUGCUUGACCGCAGUCCAGUAUUCAGGUCCAGGAUUAGAUUGAUAUCUACUAACCAUCCCUACUGCAAAACAGAUGUCUGGCCUAGUGCAAAGCAUGGCAUACAUGAGACUUCCCACAGCUUCUGCAUAGGGAACUCAUCUCAUUCGCUCUAUCUCUUCAGAUGUUUUAGGUGAUUGAUCCUUAGAGAAUGUAAUUCCAUGUCUGAAUGGUAAUAAACCAGUCUUGAAAUUUUCCAUGCUAAAUCUAGCCAAUAUCUUAUCGAUAUAGACCGCUUGAGACAAGGCUAAAGUUUUAUUCUUCUGGUCUCGUAGUAACUUGAUACCAAGAAUAUAACUUGCCUCUCCUAGGUCUUUCAUAUCAAAUUGCUUUGCUAACCAACUCUUUAUUGUAGUCAAUACUCCUAUAUCGUUUCCAAUUAGGAGAAUAUCGUCUACAUAAAGAAUUAGGAAGGCUACAGAUUUUUCUUGAAUUUUCUUGUACACACAUGGUUCAUCAAUGUUCUGAAUGAAUCCAAACGAUUUAAUCGCUUGAUCGAAUCUGAUGUUCCAUGACCGGGAUGCUUGCUUUAAUCGAUAAAUGGAUCUCUGCAACUUACAUACCAUGUGUUUUUGGCAUUUUUGUAUAAAUCCAUCUGGUUACUGCAUGUAGAUGUUUUCUUCAAGAUGCCCGUUAAGAAAGGCAGUCUUGACAUCCAUUUGCCAAAUUUCAUAAUCUAGCACUGCAACAAUGGAGAGCAGAAUCCUGAUGGAUUUAAGCAUAGCAACCGGAGAAAAAGUUUCCUCAUAAUCGAUUCCCUCUUUCUGAGUAAACCAUUUGGCUACUAAUCUUGCUUUAAAUGUUUCCACCCUUCCAUCUACUACUCUUUUUCUCUUCUAGAUCCACUUGCACCCUAUAGGUUUUACCCCAUUUGGUGCCUCUACAAGUUCCCAGACUUUAUUGGAAUACAUAGAUUCCAAUUCUUGAUUCAUGGCCUUUUUCCAAAAUUCAACAUCUCUAUCUAUUAGAGAUUCGUUGUAACUAGUGGGAUCUUGUACAUGUUCAUCUGAGAUAGCCGUAUAGGUUUCUCCUAAAAGCAUGUAUCUCGCAGGUAACCUAGUUACCUUCCCACUACGACGAGGUUCUAAAAGUGAUGGUUGUUUAGGGUUAAUCAUGUGUUGAUCAUCUGGUUGUUGUUGUUCUUCCUAUUCUGUAACAGGCGUUGAAAGCUGAGCAUCAACCUGAUCACCUAACAGUUCUUCAAGUAUUACCUUACUCUUAGGUUUGAAGUUAUUCAUAUAGUCUUCCUCGAGGGAAGUGAAAUGUGUGCUCACGAUCACUUUCCAAUCUUGAGGACUAUAAAAUAAACCUCCCCUUGUUCCUUUAGGAUACCCCACAAACAUACAAACCUCAGAACGUGAAUCCAUUUUGUCUGCCUUUGGUUUCAGCACAUGUGCUGGUGAUCCCCAAAUACGAACAUGUCGUAAACUUGGUUUACGACCUGACCAUAAUUCUAUUGGGGUUUUAGGCACUGACUUAGAUGGAACUAAGUUCAAAAGGUAAACUGCAGUUUCCAGUGCUAGUCCCCAAAAAGAGAUUGGUAAUGACGAAUAACUAAGCAUAGAUCUCACCAUAUCCAAAAGAGUUCUAUUUCUUCUUUCAGCUACCCCAUUUUGUUGUGGUGUUCCCGGGGCAGUCAACUGAGAUAUAAUCCCAUUUUCAACUAGAUACUCUUUGAAAUCUCCUGAGAGAAAUUCACCACCUCGAUCAGAUCGAAGUUUCUUUAUGUUCUUAUCUAAUUGCUUUUCUGUCUCAGCCCUAUACUCUUUGAAUUUCUCAAGAGCUUCAGACUUAUGACGCAUCAGAUAAACAUAACCGUAUCUUGAGUAAUCAUCAGUGAAAGUGAUGAAAUACUCAUAACCUCAUCGAGCUUGUACAUUGAUUUGUCCACAUACAUCUGUAUGUACCAAUUCAAGUGGUACUGUUGCACGUACUCCUUUAGCCGAGAAUGGCCUUUUGGUCAUUUUUCCUUCUAAACAGGAUUCACAGAGUGGCAAUGAUUCAUUUUCUAAUGGACCCAAGAGCCCAUCUUUGAUCAUUCUCUGUAUCCUAUUUUGGUUUAUAUGACCCAAGCGUAAAUGCCAGAGGUAACAUUGGUUGGAAGAAAUAUUUCUUUUCUUAGAUAAAUAUGUAUGCUCAUCAUUAUUUAUCACUGUGUCAUGCAUAGAAUGGAUCAUUGGACUUAAAUGAUAUAAAUUAUCUUCCAAUGUACCAGAACAAAUAAGUCUCUUAUUUUGAAAAAUAGAAACAGAGUAUCCAAAAUUUACAGUGUACCCUUGCUUUGACAAACAAGCUACUGAAAUUAAGUUCCUCUUAAUGUCUGGAACAUAAAGACAAUUAUUCAAAACUAAAGUCUUAUUAUUAAAAGAUAAUAAAACAGAUCCAGUCUUCACUGCUGACACGAACUGUCAUGUCCCUAACUGCAGCUUGACGCUUCCUUCACUUAUUUUCCUAGUUUCCUGAAACCAAUAAAGUGAAUUACAAAUAUGAUUAGUUGCUCCUGAAUCCAACACCCAAGUGUCAAUAGGAUUCUGAACUAAACAGACCUCAAUUACAAAAAGAUUUCCCAUACCUGAUUUCACAAUCUUAGGGCAAUCCUUUUUCCAGUGACCUUUCUGUCCACACUUAAAGCAUUUGCCUUUCGGCUUGCUAUCUUGCUUGGUAGACGGUUUCUUUUUCCCAGCUUUCUUCUUACCUUUGCCUUUCGGCUUAGGCCCAGAAGAUGAACUUUUUUCAGUAAUAUUUAUGCUUCCUAGAGAUUUCUCAGCACGAUAGAUCUCUUCAGCAGAAUGGAGUUCGUUCAUCAAUUCAGUUAAGGUCAUGUUUCUUUUGUUCAUGUUAUAAUUGACCUUAAACUCCUUGAAUGUUUCUGGUAGAGAUUCUAGCACCAUGUCAAUCUUUGAGUUAUCAUCGAUUUGUGCUCCUUGAAUCUCAGCCUCAUUCAAAUAGUCCAUCAUUUUGAGGACAUGAUCACGAACUCUUGUGCCAUUCCCCAUUUUACUGUUCAUAAUUCCUUUCAGCGCUGCUUGUCUCGCUGAGCGAGUACUCUGCCCGAACAUCUGUUGGAGACUAUCCAUUAUUUCAGUGGCAGUCUCCAAGUUCUGAUGUUUGGUCUGCAGAAUAUUAGAAAUCGAGGCUAAAAUGUAGCACUUUGCCAUUUCAUUGGCCUUUUGCCAUUUCUCAUAAAGCCUCCUCUGAUUUCUAUGAGUAUCAUCCGCUGGAACUGGAGGGCAUGGCUGGGUUAAGACAUAUUUAUAAUUUUCAGCAGUCAGGACAAUGAAUAUAUUUCUUUUCCAAUCUAUAUAGUUCUCUCCAGUGAGUUUGUUUUGACUCAGAAUAAUAGUAAGUGGGCUUAGGGAAGACAUUUUCUGAAAAAUAAAACAUCCAUGCAUAAAUAAUUUGAAAUAAUAUUCACAAUAAAUGACAAAAAUGCAUAAAACCAUAAAUGCAUUUUAAUUUAUUGUAACGAUAAUCUAGUUCCGCUUUGACAAGCUAUCCGGUGGGGAAGUCAUGUCCAUACUUACUAGACUCAAUUACCCAUUGGAUUAUUUACUUUCAUGUAGAGACAUGAUAAAUAAUUAUCGUUAUCUUUUUGGGCCUAAAUUUGUUAACAGAGUUUCGUUGGGAAGGUUAAUAACAAAUUUUAGUUGAGUGUAUAACCAUUGUUUCAAUCUACGUAUUUUUCAUAUCAAUAGUCACCGUUGGGGUGAACAAUCGAUUGAAAAAUAUUUCAAUUUUAUCUUUGAAGAAGUUCAUCAAAUAAAAUAUCUAAUAUAUAUACCCUCCGAAGGGAGCAUCACCGUAUCAUGAAGUCGAGGUAUAUAUAUAAUUUUAUUAUUGAACUAACAAUGGAGCCCGUGGGAAAAUUAUCUUGAAUUUUCCCUCUCCCACUCAAUAUUUUAAAAUUGGUUUUUCCUUUUUAAAACAUACAUAUUGUUAAUUGCAUGCUUCCUAUAAUAUUAUCUAGAUGAUAUCAAAUAUUAUUAAGCAUACACAAAUUUCAAACAAUAUUAUGAAAUUCAUUAUUAAUGAAUGACAUGUAUCAUUAUGCAUAGAGUGGCACUACCUAUUCUAUAUGACAUUGUUAUCAUGGCAUGUGAUCAUCCAAAACAUAACAUAUAGAAAAACAAUUAAAUAAUCUUAAUUCAUGGCUUUCCUAAUAAUGAAAAAAUACAUUAACCCUAAGCCUAAUCUUCAUUAGGCUUCUUGUCAAUGUCCAUCUUCCAUAAGCUUGUCUUUGUUAAUGGACUAAGAGAAAUUGGGCUUUUAAAUUUAUAAUUGGUCCAAUUUUAAUUUUUGGAAGGAAAUAAAUAAAUAAUUAAAGUUUUUUAUUAAAAUAAAAUUUUUAGACCAAAAAUAAAUUUAAUGUGUUUAAUUUUAUCUAUGCAUUUUAAUCCAUUAAGCCCAAAUUUCAAUUGGGCCUAAAACUAGGAUUCUUUAAGCCCAAAAUUAUUUUUGGACUUAAAUGCAAAAAAUUUAAACGUGUCUGCCCAAAAAGAAAAACUAUGGAGCCAUAGGGACCUCAAUGAUAGAAACGAUUGAAACCCUAAAUCCAUAUUUUUCUCUUUCCUUUCUUCCCCAGCCGCCACCAGCAGACUGUUCAGAGACGCCGGCCAUCUACGACGCAUCUCCGACACCGAAACACCCGCCGCCACGUCGCCGGAAACGCACCAAACUCGCGCGGGCAGCAAGCUGCGUGUGCAGCGCGCGCUGCUCGCCAUUGCUGGCCGCGAGCGCUGCUUUGCAGUGUGCAGCUCAGCGCGCGCAGCUGCUGGCUGGCAGCGCGCGCUGCUGGCAGCGUGUGCUGCGAGCCGCGCGCUGCUGCCGCUGCGCGUGCAACGCGCGCUUACUGGCAGCAUGUGCUGCUGGCCGCGCGUUGCUUGCUGCUGGUUGCCGCUGUCAAAAUUUUCGGCCUCCGUCGCUCCGAUCUUGAAAAUCCGAGAUUAAUUUACAAAUUUCCUAGGCCAAUAUAGGCUUACAAAAAUUCUAUAAUAGUAAAAUAAAUCAAGAGGGAAACAUGGUGAUAAAAAACCACCCCUCUUGUUACAGAUCCAAACGAAAAAUACAAUAGAAAAUCUAACCAUGAAUUAAGACAAACCAUAAGCAUGCUUUAUUCAUAUAUUAAAUAAAUAAUAUACAUCUGAAUAAAAUGUGCCACUCUAAUACAUAAAUUUCAAGAUUAAUUUCAUACGAAAUUCUUAUAUAUUAAUAUGAGGCUGCUCUGAUACCAAUUGUUGGGGAAAAAUUAGGUUUUUAAAUUUUUUAUAAAACCUUUUGAAGAUCACUCUCAUAUAAUAUAUAAGAAUUUGUAUUCUAGAUAUCGUACCUUGAAAAACCGAGUUGGCUUUUUCCGCUGAAGUGAUUUAGGCUCCUAGAUCACGAUCCGCCACCACCACUCCUAUUAGAUCACGAUCCUGCACCACCACGCUUGUUAGAUCACGAACUGUCACCAAUGAUCUUCCAGGUUAUGACUCAGGUUCGAUCUGCACUUGACGUGUGGACACCUUUAUCACUACCAAAGUAACUAGCACGAGAAAAUUUUUCUCUCAACAAUUAGAGAGAAAAAUCUUUUUCUCAGAUCUGUAUAAAGUGGCUUCUCUUUUUUUCUUUUGAGAAAAUAAGCUUUAUAUAUCUCCCUUUAGUAAAAACCCUAAGCUCCAAGAAUGCCCAAAAUAAAACUCACGUUACUUUUCAUUUAAUAGGGGACCCCACCAUGUAAAAUAACAUAAGGCCUCUUACACAUAAGCUUAUUAAAUGGAGCCUCCCACUAAAUGAUAUAUUUAGGCUUUUGACCCAAAUAGCUAGUUAUCUUGCUUAUUAGUCCAGUAGUAGUGCAGUCAAUUAAAUGAGCUAACCCGGGGAUCAUUUGGGAACAUACAAUAGUGGCUAUAACAAUUAGGCCUGUAAUUAAACUAACUUAAUUAUUUAAUUCCAAAUCUACUCCACUAAAAGAUUGGAACUGACUUCCAUAAUUGUAUGCUCGAAUAAUAAUUCGUCCAAAGCCACAUUGAUUUCUUUACUGCACAAUCCUUUGUACCACAUCGUUAAUUAAAUUGAUAUCUCAACUGUCCAAUCAAUUUAAUAACAUCUUAUUCCUUGAUCCUUACUGAUUUUCUCUAAUGAUCAUUUUCAACAUACUAAAUAUGUUGACACACUUUGGCCAGAGAAUUCUAUGAUCAAGUGCCGAAAACCCAUCAAGAGAUGUGUUGUACAAAUUCUAUAUUGUUAAUCCAUAACUCCAAUACUCAUAAUUGCUCCCACCAAGAUACCGAGUAAUCUUGACCACAAUGAUGUGUCGUGCCCAUUGGUAACUCAAAUGGAAUAACAAUUACAAUCAUGAAAUCAUAAUUAACUCAAGAUUAAGAUUACAGUAAAAUCAAUGCCUAUAAGAUUUAAUAAGUCUGACAAUUAUUACAAAGUUAAUUAAAUCUCAUAUGUGAUCAUGUUCAAUGUAGUUGUACUACAUCAACAAAUUCAUACAUGAUUAAGACAAAUCAUUCAAUGAAUUUAUUACAGUCUAUACCUAAAUAAAGUGCCCAACUUUAUUUAUCAACUGCGAACUAAAUUUAUUUAAUCAUAAGAUAACUUGUAUUUAUGUCUUCUGUGAAUCCACAUGGUGAUCACAUAAAUACAUAUAAUAUGAUUAAAUGGACUUUAAUACAAAUAUUAAUGCAAUUAAGAUAUUUGAAUAAAAUACCUCAUCCAUUUUAUUAAUCAGAAAAAUUAUUUAUUACAAUUAAAUAAACACAUAUGCUUUUAAAGAGCAUAUUUUCCCAACAUAUCUUUCCUUUCAUUAGGGAAAGCAGCAGCAAGGAUGCUGCUCAAAUUUUCAUUGUAAGCAGCAGCUCUUUAAUUCCCAUUUGUCAGCUCUUUGAUUCCCAUUGGAAAAUUUAGCAUUGCCCAUUCAUCCUUCCUCCUCUAUAUUGCCUUACAGAAUUAGGAGCCUGUAAUACAAAAUUUUUAAUCCCAAAGUUAAGCAGAAGCGCAACAAUUCCAAAUACAUCCUAAACUUGAUUUUACGUUACCAUUAGAAACAAAGGAGAAGGAGGAGGAGGAGAAAAUCCAUUAGGAAUCAUGCCACCAUGCCUGAACCCUGGUGCUUGGUACACUUGUAAUGCACGUUGAUAAAGGGUCGGAUCUUUUGAGAUAACCAAACUUAUUAAUAUUUUUCCAAACUCGAAGAAUUUGUCCACCAAAAUCUCCUCAGUCACAUAAUCAUCUAAAUUCUUGACGUACAGGUUGUUAAAUGAAGCACUUUCUUGAAUCCUGCCAGCCCUUCUGAUGAAUGGACCAACAUAGCUGCCAAUUAAUGCCAGUGAACAUUAUUAAUGCGACAAAUAGUAAAUAAAUUAGCAUAUACGCAAAGAUGACACAUACAACUGUGGCUGGAUCUAAUAACUGGUUGCACCAUUGUUUUGCCCCUUUUAUAAAAUGUAAAAUUAAAAUUUACUAUUAAAAUUGUCAAAAACCAUUACGUGUGGCAAUAUUCAAAUCCAAAUUUAAAUCGGCAUUGAAAUUUUGAGAUAUGGAUCCACAUUUUUCUGAUUAAAGGAAAUAUUCGUAAAGAUUGCAGGCAUAUAUUUUGCAUAUCUAGAUUCGCAUGAUUCAAAAUUCAUAUAUAAUUUAAAAUUUAACAAAUUUGCCUAAUAAAAUCCAAUUAUAAUUGAACGAUCAACAAUUCAACACCUAGAAUAACAUUCAACAAUAUUAAAUUCAUAAAUAAAAAUACCAUAAAAUAAAUUAAACAUCAAGAAUAACAUAAAUUUAAGUCUAACACCACUACAAAUCCAUAAAUACGAACACCACAAGUCCACUUAGAUUCAAUUUAAAACCAUCACAAAUAAAAACACCACAACAAAUCUACACAAGUUUGAUUUUUUUUAUUUAACAUAUAUUUUUAUUCAAUUUUAAUGUAAUAAAUAAUUUAAUUAAAAAAUAAUGUGGAUCCAAAUAUUCAAUUUUCUGAAUGCAUUUCCAUCCGAAUCCGUGCAUAUUUUAUUUUUUGGCAUCCUAAUCUAUACUUUUCAAUAUGUGGAUCCAAAUCUUUACAAAUCUGGGUCGGAUCUAGAUUUUUUUACGAUCCCUACAAACAAUUACCAUGUUUGAUAGGUUAAAAAAAUAUAGGCACACGUUAGACAAUAGUAUAAAGUUAGAGUAUUGGACUAUUCUUUUUAAAAUUAAAUCAGUCUUUUGUUUGGUGCUGCAAAGAUAAGUGAGGAUUAUGUACCUUAAGACCACACCAUUUAAUCUUGGACACAUACUUUUAUAAAGUAGAAUGAAAAAUUUUCCCAUAGGGACCCUAGGGAUAAUGUGGGAUAAUUUUUUUCAUGCUUAAAAAUAAUUGUAGAAUAACUACACAAUGAAAUAUCUAUAUCUAUUAUUACAUUAUAUUACAUUGAUUAAAUAUGUAUUUACUUCAAUAUUCAUUUUACUUAAAUAAUAAUAAAAAUGUUAGAAUUUAUAUUUUGUGUGUUUGUGUGUGUGUUUGUAUGUAUAUACAUACAUAUACACACAUAAAUGAUCAGUUACACACAUUAUUGUACGCGACGAGCCAUGUGUCAUUUAAUGAUUAGUUGUGUCGCACAUCUAAUUAUGUGUGUGCAUUAUAAUAAUAAUAAUAAAAUAAAAACAACUUAAAUUAAUAUUCAGGUUUUUUAUUUAAUAUUUCGAAUAUUCGUAUUAUUAAAUUUAUAUUUAUAAAUUUACUCUUAUAAAUAAAAUACUUUUAAAUAUUUAAUAAUUAAUAAAUCAAUAGUAAUAUACUUUAUUUUCUUAUAAACUGUUUUAGUAAAAUCCUACAUAGUAUACCAAACAUGAGAUAAUAUUAAAUAUAAAUCCAGCCCAAUCUUAUUUUAUCCUACUAAACCCAAUAUAUUAUUACCCAUAAUCCAUCUUAUAAAAAAAAAGUAAUUUAAGUUCUCGUGCUGACUGGAGCUGGAAACCUGAAAGGCGGAAAGCCUAGCUAUAGGGGUGUUCAGAAUCCAUUCCAAUCCGCUCAAUCCGUCUGAUCCGUAAAAAUUCGAUCUGUGGAUUAGUGGAUUGGAUUGGAUUGAAAAUUUGAUAAUCUGCAAUCGGUGGAUUGGAUAUGAAUCUACUUUUAUAAAUCCGUAAAAAUCCACGAAUACGCAAAAAAAUAAAGAGUAUUUAUUUAAUUAAAAAAACUUGUAAAUAUGACAUUAUUACUUACUAGUAAAUAAAUAAGUUAAAAUAUAGUUAUAUUAACACUAUAUUAUAUCUUAUCUGAUGAUAAUAUAAAAUAAACAAAUAAACAAAUAAAUAAAUAAAUAAAUAAAGCUUCUUAAAUAGUUAAUUUCCAUGUGCUGAUAUAAACUAAUGAGAUUUUUUUCGUUUUGGUGUGUUAUAUUUUGAAACUUUAAAUGUAUUUUCUACCUUUAUUUAAACAGUUAAUUUAUGUAAAUCUUAUUUGAUUUUAAAUUUCAUCUGUAGUAAAAUUAUUUUUAUAUUAAAUUUUUUUAUUUAGUUAGUUUGUGGAUUGGACAAAAUUAAAAAUUUUUAGUCCGCAAAAUAAUAGAUUAGAUAUGGAUUAGGUCAAAUCCGCAUCCGAUCCACAGAUAUAUGAAUUGAAUUUGAAUUAAAUUUCACCAAUUCGUGGAUUGAAUUAGAUUAAAAAUUUAUAAUCUAUAAAAUCAUGAAUCGGAUAUAAAUUAAUAGCCAAUCCAUAAAAUUCGAUUUGCGAACACUCCUAACUAGCUGAAGCUCUUACCUCAAUUUCCAGUUGAAAAUUAAUAAUUAAUAAUCACUAAUUAAAAAUUAAAGAUGAACGCUCACUAAUUAAUAAGUAAUUUAAGUUCCUUUUUAUUAUUUAUAUACACUUCCCAUCUUCCUCUCUCCUUCUCUCUGUUUCUUCUUAAGUCGUCGCUCUCUCGCUUUAUUUGUGUGACCAUCACUUCAAUUCGGUUCCUCAAAAUUUCCUUUCAUUUUACCUUUCUGCUUUCGACAAUGUCUCGACGUGGUGGCGGUGGUCGUAGGCCGGAUUCUCGCCGUGACCAGCCGACUCAGGCACGGGCGCCGUCAUUCCAGCGGGGUGGCGGCGGAGCCGCUGGACCACGCGGCCGAGGUCGUCAAGGUCACCGUGGGGGUGCUGGUCGUGGAUCGCAUUCCGGCUCCGGUGCAGCCCCGUCCUCACCGCACACCGCUUCGACUUCGACGGAGCCGGCUCCUUCGUCUCCGUCUGUUUCUGCUUCUGCUCCUUCUUCGUCUUCAGUCUCUACUCUUGUCGAAGAAACGGAGCAGAAACUGACAUUGGCGGCACCAGCGGCGGCUACACUUCCGCCUUCGUCGUCGCGGGCGGUGAGACUUCCAGUGAGGCCGGGAUUCGGAACCCGUGGCAGAAAAUGUGUUGUCCGAGCAAAUCACUUUAUGGUGCAACUUGCCAAGAGAGACAUUCAUCACUAUGAUGUAAGUCUACUUUUAAUUUUAACUUCGUUAUUUUUGAAAACGUUUUGACUCUUUUUAUUUUUUAUUUUCCGUUUUUCUCGUCAAUUAAGGUUUCAAUUGAUCCAGAGGUGACGUCACAAAAGAUCAACAGACAAAUUAUUUCUCAGCUGAUUAACUUAUAUCGGCUGACUAACUUGGGUGAACGAAUACCUGCCUAUGAUGGUAUGAAGAGCAUUUACACUGCAGGGCCGCUGCCUUUUGAAUCGAAGGAAUUCAUUAUCACGUUACCUGAUAGUGAUCCUCGUCCCAGCUCAUCUGCCAGCCCGGGGUAUCUCAUGCUUUUAACACGUGUGUUUCUUGAAUAUUGUUGAUUGUGAGUUUUCUUGAUUUAAUGUGUCGAGUGAUUUCUUAUGCAGAACGGAGCGUCAGUUUAGGGUGGUUAUCAGAUUGGCGUCGCAGCCUUAUGUUUACACUCUACAGAAGUUCAUACAAGUGCUUGAUGUUGUUCUCAGAGCAGCUCCAUCAGAGAAGUAUUUAACCUUAACUGUGUUAAUAAAAGUUUCACUUUUUGGUAUGUAUGAUAUAGGAUGUUCCGUGCCCAUGCCAGCAUUUGCUUGUUCAUGCAACUGAUUGAGCAUUUGAUUUCUGAGGAACAAUUUUAUUAUUGUCUAUUUUGUGCCUUGAACAAUUUAGGUUUUAGAAUGGUUAAUUAAUGAAAUGAUGAACUUCUGCAUCAGGCAUACAGUUGUGGGAAGGUCAUUUUUCUCAACUGAUCUUGGACCAAUGGGUCAGCUUGGUGAUGGCAUUGAAUAUUGGCGUGGAUAUUUUCAGAGUCUUCGCCCAACCCAAUUUGGGCUAUCUCUUAAUAUUGGUUUUUCUCAUUAUAUUUUAUAUAAUUUGAUGCUGCUUAUCUUUAUAUUAUCCAAGCUUGAUUUUUUCUUUUUUAGGUGCAGCACUGCUACAUAAAUAUUUGCUUUUGCUGUUGCAGAUGUUUCAGCCAGCUCCUUUUAUAAGCCAAUUCUAGUUACUGAGUUUGUUCAGUAUUAUUGCAGCGACUUAUCACGUCCUCUUUCUGAUCAAGUGCGUCUGAAGGUAUUGUCUAGUCUUCUUUCGUGAUGUCAUGGUUAUAAUUAAUUUAGUAUCAACUUAAUGAGCUAUCUAUUGGGCGGUUAAAAGUUUUAAUUGAGGGCUGCAGCACCGUAAUAUAUUUGUGAUAAGAGCCUUUUCAAAGAAUGAUCACAGAUUUGUUAGGCAAACCGUUCAGUAAUGUUUUAGAUGCUGUGUAUAAUUAAUUGCAAGUAAUUAGCAGUUUAAAAUUUCAAAUUUCUUGCAAAUUUUGGAUAGGGUAAUUUCUUAAUUUGUGGCUGAACUGGUGGGUAGUGAGUAGUGUUGUUCUCGGCCAUUGAAAUCUAAAUAGAAUGAGCUCCCAAGUCUAGGGGGAAUAGAAUGUUGAUGACAGUGUUUGAUGAUUAAUGUAGGAAGUUGGUGUAUAAUUUGGCCUAUAAUUCUGAUGAUAAAGAAAUGAGAUCUUGAAAUGGCGGUUUUAAAAAUCUUCCACGCAUUCAUUUGCAAUUGUACAGUUAUCUUGAUCAACUUAUUAUCAUUCCGUUACGUAUAUUAGCAAUCUUUUGAACUAUCUGUAAAAUUUUUACUUUCGAUCUAUUUUGGCCGCUAUUUGACAACCGCCCUUUAAUUAUUUUCAAAAUUAUUGCUGGGAAUGGGAUAGAGACAUGUGGUCAAUGAUAUUAAUAUACUUGUUUAAUUCUUGACUUCUAGGUGAAAAAGGCAUUGAAGGGAAUAAAGGUAGUGCUCAGGCAUAUGGGGUACAACUUAAGUUGCAAGAUCACUGGAAUAACCAGUCAACCGAUGAGCCAAGUAAUGUAUGUGUGUGUGUAAUUAACUGAUAUACAAGUGUAAGAACACUGUCCAACGUGUGGUGAUAGAGUGUGAUAACAUAACUUGGUGGUUUGGUUGUGUUUAUGUUGGUCGAUUUGUUUAUGUUAGCUGAUUCUUGAGUCCCCCACGCCAUUUGAGAAGCAUACUUUAUGUUGCCUGCUUUUGUCGUCAUCUGAAAUCCACAUAUGGUUAAAUUUGUCUUUUGUGUUGUAUUUUAUGUAUGAUUGAACUACUUGGUGGUAAAAAGUUUGGCGGAUGUGUCUCAAAUCAAUUUCUCAAAUCUGAUAUGUGAUAGUAGUUGGCUACUAUGUAGUGCGAUGGUCACUUGAUAUUGCCUGUAACAGUGAUGUAUCCCUCCUUCCAUGUUAUAGUCGGAAUUCACGUUAUAUCUUCCCUUUGAUUGUAUUUGCUAGGUUUACUUGUGACAAUGAGACAAGGUCGGUGGUUCAAUAUUUUCUUGAAAAACAUAAAAUUGCGCUUCAAUUCACGUCAUUGCCUGCCCUUGAAGCUGGAACUGAAGAGAGGCGCAUUUAUUUGCCAAUGGAGGUUCUAUGAUCAAAAGACUACUUUCGUUCUUUGUGUCUGGAAAAUAAUUUAUUUAAGACUUAUUUAUAGAAUAUUUUUGUUUACAGCUUUCUAGGAUUGUCGAGGGACAGAGAUAUACUAAAAGAUUAAAUGAAAGACAAGUAACUGCUCUUUUAAGAGCAACCUGUCAGCGUCCUCAGGAUCGUGAAGCAAAUAUACAGAUGGUAGAGCAUUGUUGUAAUUUCUUACAUCUGUGGUGGAUCUUUUUUGGAUGAUUAAUCUGGGAGCUAUCUUCUUGUGAACAAAGAGAGUUUCUGAUUCUUGCUUCUGGGUUUGACAUUCUUCUGCAGAUGGCUAGGGAAAAUGCUUACAAUGAAGAUACUCUUGUGAACAGAGAGUUUGGAAUUCAAGUGGUUGAUGGUCUUACAUCGGUUAAUGCUCGAAUCCUACCUGCUCCAAUGGUAAUUAUGUGUCAUUUUGUUUUAUUUGUAACAGGAUUAUGGUACUUCCAAUCUCCUUAUGCUUAACUUUACCUCCUGUAAUGCUGCAGCUUAAAUAUCAUGAAACUGGCCAAGAAGCAAGCGUGAAUCCUGAUUUUGGGCAAUGGAACAUGAUUAACAAGGUGAAUUACUGAUUAUUAUUUUAUUCUGUAGCUGUUGAUUUGUGCUUAGGAAGAGCAUAGGGAAGCAGUUUCCACUUGUUUAAAUUGGUUGAGGGAUGUUUAUUGACUGAUGGGUAGGAUGGGUUGGAAGUUGAUUUGCUAAAUUUGAUGCAAUGUGGAUGUGCUGCAUUUCCUUUGCAACCAUAAUUUUUUUAUUUUUUUUUUCAUUUUAGCAUGCUGUAAUUUCUAUUUAGUUAUAUACUUUUUCAUCUUUGACAAGCAUUGUAUCUGAUAUUCACUUAGGUAUUUGGAUUGUAUGUGCUUGGUGUUCAGCUCAAUCCACUUUGCCUUCUGAAGGAGAAGCUUUUAUUUGUUUACACUGAAUUAUUUUGUGUAAUUUUGGUUGUACAGAAAAUGUUCAAUGGUGGGAGGGUGGAAGUUUGGACUUGUAUGAACUUCUCAACGUGUUUGAACCAGGAUGUGAUCGGGUUCUGUCAACGGUUGGUAGAUAUGUGCAAUAGAAAGGGAAUGGUAUGGUAAUGUUAAUGGUAUGGUAAUGUUAUUUGUUUUGCAAUGGUAUGGUAAUGUUAUUUGUUUUGCAAUUCAUGCUAGCAAUUUAGGUUAAUGGUCUCUCUGAACCGACUUUUUUCUUUUGGGGGGUCUGUGUUUAUCAUGCCAGGUAUUUAACCGGCGGCCUGUCAUUCCCAUAAGUUCAUACAACCCAUAUCAAAUUGAGAAGGCACUUGUAGACGUUCACAAUAAGACUACACAGCCAGGGAAACAGCUUCAGCUGUUGAUAAUUAUUUUACCAGAUGUUCGCGGAUCAUAUGGUGAGUGAUAAAUUUAAUCAAGGAUUAAACUUUAAUGUCAGCUUUGGUUUUGUUCAACAUUAUCGGCUUUCUGCUCGCAGGAAGAAUUAAGCGAGUUUGUGAAACGGAACUUGGGAUUGUUUCACAAUGCUGUCAGCCUAAGCACGCAUCCAGUCGCAACAUGCAGUAUUUUGAAAAUGUGGCUCUUAAAAUCAAUGUGAAGGUUUGCUUUGCCCCCAUUUUUUUGCGUGUUCAUUAUCAUGGUUAAUAUUUGAGAACCAAUACAAGGGUUGGCAGGAAAACAUGUAGGAGAUGAAUUUUUUUUUUUUUUUGGCAAUUUAAUUUCAGUCUUGAUUUGCUGUAAUUAUUGUAAUUUUUUUUUUCAAAUAAUCAAAUUCUGAUGUUCAAGAUAUUUUUAUAAGUGUUUGGGAGUGCCAAAAUUUCUUGUUAAAAUUGAUAGGUUUGCUUAUUGGUACUGGAGAUUCAGUUUGCUAUUUGUAAUUUUAUCAGGUUGGAGGACGAAACACUGUGCUCGAUGAUGCUGUUCAGAAAAGAAUUCCUCUUGUGACUGAUAGACCUACAAUUAUAUUUGGUGCAGAUGUCACCCAUCCACAACCAGGAGAAGACUCUAGCCCUUCAAUAGUGGCCGUAUGUGCACUCAUUUUCUGUUUCUGCUUUCUAGUAAUUCACUCUGUUGAAAGAUUGAAUUGACUGAGACAGGUGGUGGCCUCAAUGGAUUGGCCAGAAGUAACCAAGUACAGAGGACUUGUCUCUGCUCAGGCACAUAAUGAGGAAAUUAUCCAAGAUCUCUAUAAAUCUAUUCAAGAUCCUCAGAGGGGUUUAGUUCAUGGAGGGAUGAUCAGGUUAGUAGGCAUGGAAGUACAUAUCAGGUGCCUUAUUAUUAAGAGAACCUUAUGCUUCUGUUUGUCUUUACAGGGAACUGUUAAUUGCCUUCAAAAUAUCAACCAACCGUAAACCUGAGAGUAUUAUUUUCUACCGGUAAUGGCUGUUUUCAAUGUUAAACUGCAUGUUUUGUAGAAUGUUACUGAUGUUGUUUCAUUUAUGUGCCAGAGAUGGUGUUAGUGAAGGGCAGUUCAGUCAGGUUUUGCUCCAUGAAAUGAAUGCUAUCCGACUGGUAAUGCUGAUGAGUCCUGAAGUUAAUACAAUUUUCUUGUGUUCUAGAGAUUUUCAAUACCUAGUUUCAGUUAAUUUCUUGUUGAUGACUUUUGUUGCAACAUGCUAAAUUGACUUAUUUGCAGGCCUGUGCCUCACUUGAGGAGGGAUAUGCGCCACCAGUUACGUUUGUUGUGGUACAGAAAAGGCAUCAUACUCGCCUUUUUCCUGCUGAGCACAACAGACGUGAUCUGACGGAUAGGAGUGGAAAUAUUUUACCAGGUUCCAAGUUUGCUUUGUAUUAUUAAUCUUUAUUUUCUAUUUGCUUCUUUUGAGUAUUCACAAUGGGUGGGAACCAUGUUGUUGCUUCACCUUGUCUUUGAUGAAUACUUUUGGGAUGUUCUUGUGUUAGGAACUGUUGUCGAUACUCAAAUUUGUCACCCUACAGAAUUUGAUUUUUACCUCAACAGCCAUGCAGGAAUUCAGGUAAAAAAAAAAGAAAAUAAGUUUGCUCUUUCAAUCCAAAUAUUUUUCAUCCAGACUUGUUAAACAAUGCCCCCCCCCCCCCCCAAAUUUUUUAAUUUGUUGGACUGAUUAAGGUGUUUGUUCCAGGGAACCAGUCGCCCAACUCACUACCAUGUAUUGUUUGAUGAGAACCGUUUUACUGCAGAUGGCUUGCAAGUGUUAACAAAUAACUUGUGUUACACGUAAUAUGUUUACCUUCUCUAUAACCGGAUUUAAUAUUGCAUUGUUGAAGAAUUUAUCUUUCGAAUGGUUAUUUUGUAAGUUUUUGACUCGUGGCCCAUUUUCAGGUAUGCAAGGUGUACUCGAUCAGUUUCAAUAGGUCUGACGCUUCGUACUUCUAUUGUUUUACUAAAAAUAUUUUGAGUCAAUGAAUUAUUAUGAUUCUGGCUAGCAUUGAUUGAUUUUUUUUUCUUUUUAUUUUUUGUAUUGGCUGUUUUCAUAUGGCAGUGCCUCCUGCAUAUUAUGCACAUUUAGCAGCUUUUCGGGCUCGUUUUUAUAUCGAAGACGAAACAUCUGCGGGUGGAUCCACAGGAGGGACUAGGAGCACGGCGGAGGGGAGUUUGGCUAUCCGGCCUCUUCCCGUCAUCAAGGAUAAUGUGAAAGAUGUAAUGUUUUACUGCUGAAAGUAGUCUCCAGCAUCAAUCCUCUUUGUCAUGGUUUUCAUCAAGGCUUGACGUGUUUUGGUAUAUGGAGUACCAGCGUGGUGCCCUUUUUGGACAGUACUGUUAUUUUGGGAGUAGUUUCAAAUUGGACAUCAAGGGUAGAAACUGAUUCUCCUUAUUUUAAAAUGUUAGCUGCAUAUUGUCCUGGUUAAUGCCUUGUAAAUUUAAAUGCCAAAAAACUUCAUUUCUUAUUUUAAAAAUGUUUCUGAUUCUCCUUAUUUUAAAAAUGUUAGCUGCAUAUUGUCCUGGUUAUUUGAUCUCACUGCACUCUUUUUUAAAUUAACAUUUUUAUUCUGAAAACAUAAUUGGAUCAAUUAUAUAUUUGAUCUUAUUCUCUCUCUCGACAAAAUGGAGAAAAAUAUUAAAUAAGUUGUUUUUACAAAAUUUAACAAACACUAUUUUUAUUAAAAAUUAUGAAAUAAGUAAGUUAUUGAAUUUCAACUGCAAUCCUAAACUGACUCUUAGUUAAUCAAAUAUUUUUUGUGACUUUUGAAAAUUAGUGAAUUAAAAUAAUAAACUAUAAUUAAAAAAUGGUUGUAAGAAGGAAAAUUAAAGUUUGCCUCAAUUGUUUGAUUAGGCGAAUGAUGCAUGUAUACGGUUGGGUACAUGUAGUUGUUUUUAACUAAGAUGUAUAAAUAGAUGAACAAAUACUGCAAAAGCGAAAGUAUUGAAUUAAAAAAUGUCAUAAAAAUUUCUUCAAAGUAUUAAACUGUGUAUGCUUCUUCUUUUUUUCUUUUUUUUUACUUUCAAUUACUCGUUAUUCUUCUUGUACGGUGGCUUCCGAAUUACUUUCUUUACUUUUUGAGAGCUCAAGCAAUUCCGUUGCUUCUUCCACUUUUGCAGCCAAUGACUCAAAAGUGAAUCCAACAGCACGAGCAGCUCGGAGUGAUCCAUUUCCAAAAGCAUCUCAGUAAUCUUUGGUGAAAGACCACAUUGUCCAAAAGUUACUUACAUGUAAAUAUCAUUAAACCAAAGCUUAAAGCAGGUGAAAAUUAUUAGUACAUUCGCAGAAGGUUAAAACUUCAAUUUACUCCCUUAUUUUGAAUAACAAUCUACUAUUUACCUCAAAAAUAUAAAAACAUCAAUUUAUCUCUUUUAUCAUUAAAAAGACAAAAAAAAAUAUUAUUAUCAACACCCUUUUCGUUUGUCCUAAUCUUUUGAACGAAAAUGAAAGUAAACUGAAGAUUAUCAUUUUACCCGAAGAUGAAUCAAAAUUGACCCUUAACAAAAAAUAUGAGUAAUCACCUUGAGUUUCUUCAGCAGCGGGUAGAGUCUUUGGCCAAGAAUAUCUUUCCUUUCAUUAGGGAAAGCAGCAGCAAGGAUGCUGCUCAAAUUUUCAUUGUAAGCAGCAGCUCUUUAAUUCCCAUUUGUCAGCUCUUUGAUUCCCAUUGGAAAAUUUAGCAUGCCCAUUCAUCCUUCCUCCUCUAUAUUGCCUUACAGAAUUAGGAGCCUGUAAUACAAAAUUUUUAAUCCCAAAGUUAAGCAGAAGCGCAACAAUUCCAAAUACAUCCUAAACUUGAUUUUACGUUACCAUUAGAAACAAAGGAGAAGGAGGAGGAGGUGAAAAUCCAUUAGGAAUCAUGCCACCAUGCUUAAACCCUGGUGCUUGGUACACUUGUAAGGCACGUUGAUAAAGGGUCGGAUGCAUAGGAAAAAUGGUGCUACCAAGUCCUGGCCCUUGCUUUGCAUACAUCAUUUGUAGGUACGAAGUUCUUUCUCACUUUGUUUAAGCAAUGGCCACAUACAAUGGCUUUUGAUGAAACUAAGAUGCCAUUCAGAGUAUUUAUGGCUCCAUUGGCUUCAUCAGGAUUAGAGAAACACACAAAUCCGAACCCUUUGCUAAUACCUCGAUUAGUUCUCAUGAUCUUAACAGAGCUGCGUCAUCAUUUAUGUUCUUCACGUACAAAUUUUUAUCCUACACUUGACAAACAUCUUGAUUUUAGCAGGAUUUAACAAACGAAAAUAACGAUAUUAAUUGAGAGAGCAAAUAACGAAAACAAAAAUUGUAUAAUUCGGCACGCUCUCGUUGCAUUCUCUCAAAUUAAGCGCGUAAAAUCGCCUUUCGUACCGUUAGCAUCUUUUGAGAUAACCAAACUUAUUUAAUAUUUUUCCAAACUCGAAGAAUUUCGUACAGGUUGUUAAAUGAAGCACUUUCUUGAAUCCUGCCAGCCCUUCUGAUGAAUGGACCAACAUAGCUGCCAAUUAAUGCCGGUGAACAUUAUGAAUGUGACAAAUAGUAAAUAAAUUAGCAUACAUACAAAGAUGGCACAUACAGGUACAGCUCCAUUCCUUCAACGGUAGCAGCAUAAAGCUUCUCAAUAGCAUUGAGUGCAGAUUCUGGCGUUGAGUAUUGGACAAAGCCAUAGCCUUUGCUUUUCCCAUCUUGAGACACAACAACCUUGGAGCUUGGAGGACUGAAUGUCUCCGAAUUUGGAAAAUAUUUGAUGGAGCUUCCAAUUGUCUAUUGUACUAGCCAAGUUCUGCCAAGUGUAUAUAUAUAUAGGAAACAUCAGACAAAAUGAUGAUCAACUAACUAAAUGUUUUCAUAUCCCAUGAAAAAAUUUUGUAAUUAAUUACCUUAACGAACACUUUUCCAACUCAAUCUGGCUUCAGAAUUGGGUGUCGACUACAUUACUCUAAUUGCUUUACCAUUCAGUAUUGUAUAAUUCAAUGCCUCUAUAGCCUUUGUUGCUGAUAAAAAAAUUAUAAAAGUUAAAGACGUUCAUUAGGAAUAUAUUUCAAUUGUUAUGAAAGUAAGCCGGCAAAUCGUUUCGAAUUUAAUUAGAAGAACAAUGUCGCGUCUGGCUUUUUUUUUUAUUAUUAUUACACGAGACAAUUUCUCAAGAGUACAACUCAUAUUACAUUAGAUUACAAUUUAUAUUUAUAAAUCAGAUUAUUACUGGGACUAGUUUACAUCAAUUCUUAUGAAACACUGUCCGAACUUUUACUCUCUCUAACAUUCGAAGGAUGUUUACUCUACUCACAUUUCGAAAUGAAAAAAACUGUCUUCACUCAAUUAAAGAAGGAAAUUAAAUCCCCAACAAUGCAUUGUGGGAGCUUAAACCCAUGACUUCACAAUUGUAAGGUUUGGGUUCUAAUCACUGGCUCGCCCCAUGCAAGGGUUUUGAUUAUCGCUCUUGACCAACUCCCAAACUUGUAGCCCUAACUCUAAUUAACAUUUCCUGAAACCCUAGGGUUUAGUCAAGCUGUUUUCAAGUAAUUUUAUUUAACUGACUAAUCAUUGCUCUAGUUCAAAUUCUGGGAAAGACAGAUGGUUAAAGAAUAGAUUGGUGUACGUUCUGUUUCCCGUAUUAUGGAAUUAUCUGCAAUAAUUCACUUUAUACAACAAAGAGUUGUACACAUAUAACUAAAAGUACAUAUUUGAUUCAAUUAAUUUAACUUAGGUAAUUAAAAUAGUUUUAGGAAAAUAUGUAUAUAUAAAUUAUGAACAUGCAUGCACGUACCACAGUGAAAGGAAUGAAAGUUGGCGUAGCCAUAGCGGAGUGAACGUCGAUGGAAGCUAUCAACGCAGAGCAUAGCCGAAGCAAGUCCUUCGAGUUUUGAGAACGAGAAGGUCUGAAUGAGCUGUUGUUCUGUUACUGUGGAGUCGAGGUCUCCAACGUAGAGCGAGAACAGUGUCCCCAGAAUUGCAGAGUCAUUAUUAUUAUGAGCACGAAGAGAAACUUCCAUGUUUAAUGAAUGAAUCAAUAUCAGAGAUGACACAAUAUUAAUUGCUUGAGUUCAUCAGAGCAACAAACUAUGUGUAUAGUUAAUUAUUUAUUAAGAACAUAACUAAGAAGUUGUGAUAACGUGUAAUUCCUUUCCUCUUUAGGAAUUAGCUUUCUUAUUGAAUUCUGAUUUUAUUAUAGAAGAAACGACUAUAAGGGGGUGCCAAGCUUAAGCCCGCGCAUUGGCGGAAUGCAGAAGCUACACUAUCUCUCUCUAUAUAUAGUAGAACCUCUAAAUAGACAUACUCUAUAUAGAAAUAAUCUCUUCAUGGUAAUAAAAAAUUGUGAUCACAACUUAAAACUAGUUAUAAUUAAGAAUAAACUCCACAUUAUAAUAAGUUAUAUUUUUUGUAGAUCUCGUCUUAAAUAAACUUACCUUCACAUAGUAAUAAUAUUUCAAAAAUAUAUGUCAUGUUACGUUAAAUAAUUAAGAUAUAACAAAAUAUCUUUUUAAAGUUACAACCACAUCCUUCAACUUGCAGGUAUAUAUUAAUUGGUCAGCAUAGGCAUUUUCUUGUUAAAACUAAAAUAUUUCUAACUUCUCAAAUAUAUUAAACUGUCUUUAGUAAUAAAUUACAUUAGAAACAUUUUAGUGACAUAAAAUUUUAUUAAAAUGUAAAUAAUCCCACUUGCUACGAAUCUUUUUAUGUUUGAAUCGAAAAGUUUCGGUAACUUUCUUGUCAAAAAUAAAAAAUAACAACUCGUUUAUGUUAUUCGAUUCCCUUUCUUUUUAUUUUUUAUUUUUUGAGAGAGAUAUUCGAUUCCCUUUCAAAUGCAAACAAAAAGACAAAUUCUUGACCAAAGUCAAUUAAGUUGGUAGCUUGGAUAUUUGAAUAGGAGUCUUCACGUGCUUCAUUUUUAAGAAUCGUCAUCAUUCUUCUUUCCAAAAAGGAAAUAAGGAAAAAUAAUAAUAAUAGUAGAGCGAAGAAACAAAGAAAACUAUGAUUCGAAGUCAAAAGAAUUCAAUUUUUGAUGAUCAGUAUUCGUUUAAUUUUUAUAUUUUAAAAUAUAUCUUAAAAUAUUUUUGUUGUUAAUUAUGUUACACUUUUUAGUAUUGCAUUUUAUUUUUUUUGACAAUAAUACAUUAAUAAAAAUAAAUAUUAAUUUAUCGAAUUAAACGUAAAGGUAAAAUAAUGAUAAUACUACUAUUAUUAUUUAUUUUAUUUGUAAACUAUUAUUAUUUUUACUUUUGUGGUUAAUUAGAUAAAUAACAUAUUUAAAUCUUAUUAUUGUAUUGUUACAAUAAUAUAUUUUAUUAUGAUAAUUUAAUAUAUUUAAAUUAAUAAAUAAUAUUAUUUAUUUUUUUUACAAAUUAUUAUUACUUGUUUAUGGUUAAUUCAAUAAAUUAAUAUAUUUCUUUUCUUUGAUGUAUUAUUACAAGAGUAUUAUUGUAGAAACAAAUAAAAUGUAAGAGUAAAGGGUGUAACAUAAUUAACAACAAAAAUAAUAGAUUAAUAUUUUUAUAUUAAUAUCUCCAAGAUUGUUACAAGGUAUUAUUGUCAAAGCAAAACAAAAAUAAGGACAAUAAUAAAACAUAUUAUAAUAUCUAACUAUAGUAACUGAACAUAUACUUAACCUAAAAUGUAAUAUCUAAAUGAACACUUUACCUACUUCAUUAACAUAAUCAUAUAUACAUAAUUUAUAGUCAUGUAAUGUGCCGUUGAUCAAAACUUAUGAUAUAAUAAUAAUAAUAAUAAUAUAAUAAUAAUAAUAUAAUAUAAUAAUAUAAUAAUAAUAAUAAUCUUACACCAUCUAUCAGUUAAUGACAAGUCACGUGUCGUAUUAUUUAAGACCCAUUACGUUUUUUUAAUUAUGUAUUGAUAGUAUUAUUAACAAAACAAUUAUUAUUAUUUUUUCUUUUCCCUAGCUUCCACUAUUUUAUCUAUUUAUUUUUAUUUUUAUUUAUUUUUAUUUGGAAUGAAGCUUCCACCUUAAACAAACGAAGAAAGUGCUGACCAGCUGGUAAGAUUCCUCAAAAGUGUAAGCAAGACGACGCACUUUCGAUUGUUAAAAUGAAUCAGAAGAGCUAAAGCGGUUUCUUUAUGCGUUCCUUAAUGUUGUAGAUGUAGUUCUCUUUUUUCUUUUUUCAUAAACUUGCACCCACAUGGAGGUAAGCGAAACUGGCUUUUGCCUUUCGUUCGUUCAUCAAAUUUUAAUAUCACUUAUUACGUCGCUUAAUUGAAAUCUCAUGUAUUUAUUUAAAAAAUAAAAAUAAAUAAUUUAAGAAGUUGAUACAAAUAAAUGAGAAGAUAAAAAUUAGUUGCAUUAAUAAGAUAUUUUAUUUUCAAGUGAGUUUUUAAUCAAAGAUUCUCAAUUUUAAAAAUUAAAAAAUAAAUUAUAAUAUAUUAAAAUUUAUUGAUAACAUAACAUCUUCAAAAUAUUCUAGUAUUUUUUAUAACAGAACAUGAAACUAAGUAAUUUAGUGAUCCUCAAAUAAUUUUUAUUAAUUUAAAAAAAUAAUUAAUACACUCUUAAAAUAUUAUAAUAAUUUUUAUAAUAAUACAUCAAUAAAGUAUUCGAAUGAUAAUAUUAUUAAUAUUUAUUGAUAAUGGCACCUCAAAGUUCAACUCUAAUUCCUUCUGAGCUACGCAAUUAAGUAAAGUAAAUAGCAAGAAAGUCACAUCAACGCGCUUUGUGACACAACAACAUGACGUUUAAAGAGCCUCGCGGCAGAUGCAAAUAUCGAUUGACUGAAAAGAAAGCUCAAAUUGACAAUUCGUUUAACCCAACAGUUUAAAAUACUGAGUGAGAUCUUGGCAUAAAACAGUGAAAGCUAAAGCAUAAAGAAAAGAAUGUUAAGGAAAAGAGAAAAAAAAAAAAAAAAGAGAAUGAAGAAGAUGCUUUAUCUCUCUUUUUGCGUCAUUUAGAACGUAUGCCAACCAUGCACGUCCACGUCAUUUUAAUCCACGAAGAGAUAAAUAGAUCACUAACAGACAGAGUCAAUAUAUAUUCUUCAUGUCAAUUAUGGCGAGAGCUUUUCCUUUUUCUUUGGGACACAUGGUCUGUGAGAUAUGCUCGCGGAUUAAAAUUCAAAUUAAUUUCUUUGACCUCUAUCUAAAAUAUUUAGGAUUUAAAUCGGUUAAAUAAAUCAAUUUUAAAAAUCACUCAAAUUAAUCCUCUUAAAAAUAAGAGAGCCAUGUUUACUUUAGGAGACCACUGAUAUUAAAUUACUAAAAUGAUAACAUCAAAAUAAAAUUGGUAUUAUUGUUCGUGCCGUCACAAUACCAUUGUAGUACACAAAAUGACGACAUUGUUCAUACUAAAAUACUUUUCUUUUCUUGGUAGUUAAAUAUUAUUUUUCUUUUUUAUUACACGUGAAAGUAUUUUUAUUAUUAGCAAUAAACAUGCACAAUAAGAAGUGAAUAGAAAUUAACAAUAUUUUAAAUUUAAAUAAUUAUCGUAGACUCUCGUAGACUUAGCUAAACUUUUACUGCAUGCGCGCGCACACACACAACAUAAAAAUGACACCGCGAAUUAAAAAAACUGUAAAUUUUGCGAGGGCUCGAUUUUAAAUUUGCACAGAAAUCAGACAAAUUUCAGAUCAGUCCCUUAUGUUUCUCUGAAAUUUAUUCCAUCCCCCCCGACUAUCGAGUACAAGGCGCCAUCAUAUCCUCUGUAGCAUUUCUAGAAUCUUGGAAGUGGUCCCGCGCAUUUAGUCCAUCGAUCCUUGUCACCUGAUGGGAGUAAAACUCCUCGGUCAAAAGGAUUUGGUAUUCUCGCGGGCCCCACAAAGGAAAUUAAAAAACUAAAAAGCCAAAAAUAGGCUGCGCAUGGAAUACCAUGAAGCGGAAGUCCCUUCCUUCGGAAGUUGUUUGCAAGAGAAGACUUGGAAAUUAUCUACAACGUGCUAUCCCACCGUGUCUCCCGUAGACGCCAGCUUCGAUUGAUCCAUCCCAACUUUGUCUUUAUCAAAUUAUAAACGUCCCGAAGAAGCCCUUCUUCGCUCGACACGUGCACGUGCAUCAAAGGUUUCGUGUUAGCUUUGCGUUAUUUGCGAUUUUAAAGAAAGUGCCGUUGUACGGUUCUGCUGUUCCUUCAUCGCUUACGUGGAAAGGCCUGCGUGCUGACUCCUCGCAGACAGCCCCACUAAUUUCUUUAAAAAAAUAUAAAGUAAUGGAUACGGACUUAGCAAACCGGAUGUGCACAUGUGUUUGAGAAAUCAUAUAUAUAUAUAUAUAUUUUUUUCCUCAGUAAAAGCGUGACCAAAUACUGUCGAUUUUCAAUAAUUUUUUUAUUAAAAAAGAUAUAAUUUUCUUUACGUUGUGUAAAUGGGGUCCACAGGCGGACUGCCAAACUAGAUGCCUUGGGAAUCGUCAACCCUUCAGGCUGGAAAACGCCCCAAGGAGCGCCGCCUAAAAGCUAUCAUUAAUUUGUCGUCAUACGCGCCCAGGGAAAGCGUGUGUGGGAGCAAAUAUUCAAACGCCGGGACUAUUGGACACGUGUGAUAGUUUAAAGAGGCCGUAGCUCUGAGCUUUGCGGGAAUAAAAGGCUGAUGGUUCAGCACGCGCUCAUGGAAAUUUUUCACUCGUUCCAAAUUCCAAUCACCUUCUGUUCUUCCACAGCGACUAUGUCCAUUGACCCCCAGACACCUGAUGAUUAUUUUCGCGGUCUUUUUCAUUUCACAAAUUUUACCCUUUGCCAUCUUCACUUGGUGGGUGAAAUUUGAUUUUUGGGUACAAUGCAGAGUGGAUUUAAUCAUAAACUUCUUGAAUUAGAAAUAGUAAAAAUAUCCACCGUCCACUUAUUUUUUUUUUCUUUUAAAUAUAUAAUUCUUUUUUUUACUGAAAUUCACCUAAAGUUACAUUUUAUUUUACUUUUCCAGUUUUGUUUUAAAUUCGUUAAGAAAACUAACGGAAACUUAAAAAAAUGAUAAUUUUACCUCCAAAACGAAAAUUAUAAUUUCACCAUAAAAAAAAGCCAAAAACAAUAAGAUUUAAUGAUGAAUAUCAUUAUUGGUAUGUUAAUGAAGUAUAAAAAAAUCUUAACUACUAGAUAUUAUAACUCAAUGAAUAAUAAAAUUCUACUUAUUUUAAAUUCAAUUGAGCUAUUUUUAAUACUACUGUUAUAAUUUAGCAUUCUAAUUACAUACAUAUUUAAAAAAAAACCUUGCAUUUGAUGGUUGUGGAAUUAAUUUCUUUGUUGACCGAUGGGGAAAAUAAUUAGAUUUAAUUUGAUUAUUUUUGGUAAUUUUUAGGAUGAAAUUAUAAUUUUCGUUUUGGGGGGCAAAUUUGUCAUUUUUUAAGUUUCUGUUAGUUUUCUUAACGGAUUCCAAACGGAAGUGGAAAAAUGAAACAAAAUGUAUCUUUAGGUGGAUUCCAACAAAAAAAAAAUUGUGUAUUUUUUAAAAAUUAGAAAAAACGGGUGGACAGUGGAUAAUUUCUCUUAAAAAUAUUAUCCGAAGGAUAAUUUUAAGUUUGGUCCUUUUACAUAAUGUAGAUUUGUGGUGGUAUUUUUUUUUUUGUGAUGGUUAAAAGAAUAUAGGCACACAUUAGACAAUAGUAUAAAGUUAAGAGUAUUGGACUAUUCUUUUUAAAAUUAAACUAGUCUUUUGUUUGGUGCCGCAAAGAUAAGUGAGGAUUAUCAAUUAUGUACCCUAAGACCACACCAUUUAAUCUUGGGCACAUACUUUUAUAAAGUACAAUGAAAAUUUUUAUCCCAUGGGGACCAUAGGGAUAAUGCGGGAUAAUUUUUUUCAUGCUUAAAAAUAAUUGUAGAAUAACUACACGAUGAAAUAUCUAUAACUAUUAUUACAUUAUAUUAUCACAUUGAUUAAAUAUUUAUUUACUUUAAUUUUCAUUUUACUUAACUAAUAAUAAAAAUGUUAGAUUUAUAUUUUGUGUGUUUGUGUGUGUAUAUGUAUGUAUAUUGUGUGUAUAUGUAUCUAAACAUACACAAAUGAUCAAUUACACACAUUAUUGUACGCGAUGAGCUAUGUGUCAUCUAAUCAUGGCUGUGUGGCACAUCUAAUUAGGUGUGUAUAAUAAUAAUAAACAACUUAAAUUAAUAUUUAGGUUUUUUAAUUUAAUAAUUUGAAUAUUCAUAUUAUUAAAUCUAUAUUUAUAAAUUUACUCUAAUAAAUAAAUACUUUUAAAUGUUUAAUAAUCAAUAAAUCAAUAUUAAUAUACUUCAUUUUCUUAUAAAUUAUUUUAAUAAAAUCCUACAAUAGACCAAACAUGAGAUAAUACUAAAUAUAAAUAAAACCCAAUCUUAUUCUAUCCCGCUAAACCCAUCUUAUAAAAAAAAGUAAUUUAAGUUCUAAUGGUGGCGGGAGCUGGAAACCUGAAAGGCCGGAAGCCCGGCUGAAGCUCUUACCUCAAUUUCCAACUGAAAAUUAAUAAUUAAUAAUUAAUGAUGAACGCUCAUAAACAUAAAAAAAAAUAUCAUAAAAAUGAACGAUCUUUCCUUUGCCCUCCAACGGGAGCAACUGAGCAAGUAGUAAGUGGAACCUCGCCACUUUCCUUGCAAAACGGGAGCAAGUAGCAAGUGUGUAGUGGCUAGGGAUGGCAAUGGGGCAGAUAUGGGUUGGAUCUACUCUGCUCCAUAUCUAAAUCCAUAAUAAAAAUCAAGAUCCGUAUCUGCUCCAGAUCCGUUAUGAAUUCAUAUUUUUCGUUCCAUAUUCAGAUCCAAAAAAGAAACAAAUAUCUAUAUCUGCUCCAAAUCCGAAAAAAAAUUAAAAUCCAAAUCCGCUCUAGAUCCGUCAUGAAUUCUAAAAUUCCGUAAUAAAAAAGUAAUAAUUUUUUAGAUUGAAAAUUGAAGGCUAAAAUGUAUUGAUAACAAAUAAAUUAUAUAAUUUUUCUCAAAAAUAUAAUAAAUAUUGUUGCUUAUACUUCUACACCAAAACAACAAAUAAGAAAGAUAAUAAAAUAUCAUUCAAAAGUAAUUACAGGAGUAAGAUCAAUCUAAUAUUCUAUUGUCUCCUUCAUCAUUCUAGUAUCCAUGAUACACAUACCCUCAUUCCUACAACAUUAGAUAAUAACAUAUAAAUUAAAUAUGAUUUAUAUUCAGUCCUUUAUUAUUUUUAUUAUGACCAUAUUUGACUAAAUAUAUGAAUAACUAUAUUCCUUAAAAAUUAUUUGGCCAAUAUGAUAAAAUAAAUUACCAAGUUAUAUUACUUGGAUUGCAAUUUGAAUAUUGCAUGUACAUGCUUUGAGGCUGGCUGACUUUUAAAUUUACAAAACUAAUCUUUAAGUUUUAAGAGUUUAAAUUCAUGGUAAAUACUACUAAUAUGCUAUGAAUAAAAUUUAUUAUCAUUAUCAUUAUCAUUCCACAAUUAUUAAGAAACUUUUAAAAUAAAAUAAAAUUAAAAGAUGAGUGGAUAUGGAUAUGUAUUUAGAUAUUAAAAUAGAUUCAUAUCUGCUCCAAAUCCGUCUUAGAUCCGCACAUCGAUAUCCAAAUCUGAUCCAAAUCCGAUCCGAUUGAAUUUGGAUCACAUGGAUCUUGGAUCAAAUCCAAUCAAUUGCCAUCCCUAGUUACGGCAACAAAAGCGCGUGCUACAUUUACACGUCAUUAGUAUAAAAAGCUAGGGGUAAAUCCGUCAGAGGACCAAACAGUCGCCAUACUGCCACGAAGCAAUAAAAUAAAAAGAAUUUCCAUUGCACGCCUUGCAUUUAAUUCGAUCUCUCUCUCUCUCUCUCUCUCUUAAACCUUGGUCCUUAUUAUUUAUAUACACACCCCCUAUUCCUCCCUCCUUCUCUCUGUUUCUUCUGAAGUCUGUCGCUCUCUCGCUUUAUUUGUGUGACCAUCACUUCACUUCGGUUCCUCAAAAUUUUCUAUCUCAUUUCACCUUUCUGUUUUCGACAAUGUCUCGACGUGGUGGCGGUGGUCGUAGGCCGGAUUCUCGCCGUGACCAGCCGACUCAGGCACCGGCGCCGUCAUUCCAGCGGGGUGGCGGUGGAGCCGCUGGACCACGGGGCCGAGGUCGUCAAGGUCAACGUGGGGGUGCUGGUCGUGGAUCGCAUUCCGGCUCCGGUGCAGCCCCUUCCUCACCACACACCGCUUCGACUUCGACGGCGCCGGCUCCUUCGUCUCCGUCUGUUUCUGCUUCUGCUUCUGCUCCUUCUUCGUCUUCAGUCUCUACUCUUGUCGAAGAAACGGAGCAGAAACUGACAUUGGCGGCACCAGCGGCGGCUACUCUUCCGCCUUCGUCGUCGCAGGCGAUGAGAUUUCCGGUGAGGCCGGGAUUUGGAACUGUUGGCAAAAAAUGUGUUGUCAGAGCAAAUCACUUUAUGGUGCAACUUGCCGAGAGAGACAUUCAUCACUAUGAUGUAAGUCUACUUUUAAUUUUGUUAUUUUUGAAGACGUUUUGCUGUUUUUAUUUUUUAUUUUUCGUUUUUCUCGUCAAUUUUGAUUUUAUUUAAGAUUCACCAUUCGUGAGCGUCGAAUUCGAAGGUGUCGGGGUUUUGUUGAUAUUUAAAAAAUAUACAUAUUCUUUUGCUUAUUUAUUUAUUUAUUUUUUAAGGUUUCAAUUACUCCAGAGGUGACGUCAAAAAAAAUCAACAGACAAAUUAUUUCUCAGCUGAUUAAUUUAUAUCGGCUGACUCACUUGGGUGAACGAAUGCCUGCCUAUGAUGGUAUGAAGAGCAUUUACACGGCAGGGCCGCUGCCUUUUGAAUCGAAGGAAUUCAUUAUCAAGUUACCUGAUAGUGAUCCUCGUCCCAGCUCAUCUACCAGGCCGAGGUAUCUCUUGCUUUUAACACCUGCGUUUCUUGAAUAUGUUGAUUGUGAGUUUUCUUGAUUUAAUGUGUUGAGUGAUUUCUUGUGCAGAAGGGAGCGUCAGUUUAGGGUGGUUAUCAGAUUGGCAUCGAAGCCUGAUCUUUACACUCUACAGCAGUUCUUACUCCGUAGGCAUUUUGAAGCACCGUAUGAAGUUAUACAAGUGCUUGAUGUUGUUCUCAGAGCAGCUCCAUCAGAGAAGUAUUUAACCUUAACUGUGUUAAUAAAGUUUCACUUUUUGGUGUGUAUGAUAUAGGAUGUUCCCUGCCCAUGCCAGCAUUUGCUUGUUCAUGCUACUGAUUUAGCAUUUGAUUUCUGAGGAACAAUUUUAUUAUUGUCUACUUUGUGUCUUGAACAAUUUGGGUUUUAGAAUGGUUAAUUAAUGAAAUGAUGAACUUCUGCAUCAGGCAUACAGUUGUGGGAAGGUCAUUUUUCUCAACUGAUCUUGGACCAGUGGGUCAGCUUGGUGAUGGCGUUGAAUAUUGGCGUGGAUAUUUUCAGAGUCUUCGCCCAACCCAGAUGGGGCUAUCUCUUAAUAUUGGUAUUUCUCAUUAUAUUUUAUAUAAUUUGAUGCUGCUUAUCUUUUAUGUUAUGCAAACUUGAUGUUCUUUUUUAGGUGCAACGUUGCUACAUAAAUAUGUACUUUUUCUGUUGCAGAUGUUUCAGCCCGCUCCUUUUAUGAGCCAAUUCUAGUUACUGAGUUUGUUCAGUAUUAUUGCAGAGACUUAUCACGUCCUCUUUCUGAUCAAGUGCGUCUGAAGGUAUUGUCUAGUCUUCUUUCACGAUGUCUUGGUUAUAAUUAAUUUAGUAUCAAUUUAAUGAGCUAUCUAUUGGGCGGUUAAAAGUUUUAAUUGAGGGCUGCAGCACCGUAAUAUAUUUGUGAUAAGAGCCUUUUCAAACAAUGAUCACAGAUUUGUUAGGCAAAAAGUUCAGAAACGUCUUAGAUGCUGUGUAUAAUUUAACGCAAGUAACUAGUAGUUUAAAAUUUCAAAUUUCUUGCAAAUUUUGGAUAGGGCAAUUUCUUAAUUUGUGGCUGAACUGGUGGGCAGUGAGUAGUGUCUGUUGUUCUUGGCCGUUGAAAUCUAAAUAGAAUGAGCUCCCAAGUCUUAAGGGGAAUAGAAUGUUGAUAACAGGGUUUGAUGAUCGAUGUAGGAAACUGGUGUAUAAUUUGGCCUAUAAUUCUGAUGAUAAAGAAAUGAGAUCUUGAAAUGGCGGUUUUAAAAAUCUUCUGUGCAUUCAUUUGCAAUUGUGCAGUUAUCUUAAUCAACUUAUUAUCAUUCCGUUAAGUAUAUUAUCAAUCCUUUGAACUAUCUGUAAAAUUUUUAGUGUCAAUCUAUUUUGGCCGCUAUUUGACAACUGCCCUUUAAUUAUUUUCAAAAUUAUUGCUGGGAAUGGGAUAGAGACACAUGCUCAAUGAUAUUAAUAUAAUUGUUUAAUUCUUGACUUCUAGGUGAAAAAGGCAUUGAAGGGAAUAAAGGUAGUGCUCACGCAUAUGGAGUAUAACAAAAGUUACAAGAUCACUGGAAUAUCCAGUGAACCGAUGAGCCGACUAAUGUAUGUGUGUGUGUGUAAUUAACUGAUAUACAAGUGUCCAACUUGUGGUGAUACAGUGUGAUAACGUAACUUGGUGGUUUGGUUGUGUUUAUGUUGGUCGAUUUGUUUAUGUUAACUGAUUCUUGAGUCCCCCACGCCAUUCCAGAAACAUACUUUACGAUGCCUGCUUUUGUCGUCAUCUGAAAUCCACAUAUGGUUAAAUUUGUCUUUUGUGUUGUAUUUUAUGUACGAUUCAUGAACUGACUUGGUGGUAAACUGUUUAGCCGCUGUGCGUCAAAUCAAUUUCUCAAAUCUGAUUUGUGAUAGUAGUUGGCUUCUAUGUAGUGCAAUGGUGACUUGUUAUUGCCUGUAACAGUGAUGUAUCCCUCCCUCCAUGUUAUAGCAGGCAUUCAUGUCUUAUUUUCCCUUUGAUUGUAUUUGUUAGGUUUACUGAUGACAAUGCGACAAGGUUGUCAGUGGUUCAAUAUUUUCGUCAAAGAUAUAAUAUUGGGCUUCAAUUCACGUCAUUGCCUGCUCUUGUAGCUGGAAGUGAAGCGAGGCCUAUUUAUUUGCCAAUGGAGGUUCUAUGAUCAAAAGAUUACUUUGAUAUUUUGUGUUUGGAAAAUAAUUUAUUUAAGACUUAUUUAUAAAAUAUUUUCCUUUACAGCUUUCUAGGAUUGCCGCGGGACAGAGAUAUACUAAAAGAUUAAAUGAAAGACAAGUAACUGCUCUUUUAAGAGCAACCUGUCAGCGUCCUCGCGAUCGUGAAGCAAAUAUACGGAUGGUAGAGCAUUGUUGUAAUUUCUUACGUCUGUGGUGGAUCGUUUUGGAUGAUUAAUCUUGGAUUUAUCUUCUUGUGAAUAAAGAGAGUUUCUGAUUCUUGCUACUGGGUGUGACAUUCUUC